GUGGAUGGAUCAAAGUUCUUGGGCUAGAAAAUCUAGAAGGUUCAGCAAUCAUUUAAUUGGGGCUUGAAAUCGUGAUGAGCCCAGCCACAAAUCCAGCUCCCCAAGUCUCUCUCUCAACUCAUUUCUCCUCAGCCCAUCAAUUAAAGUCCAAGCUCAGCGGCAGAGUCGGCCUGAUCAUUCAGAACAGUCCCAGCUCUCCCUCAUCUCCUCAUUGUUGUUGAAGAUGAUCAAAUCUACCUAGCCGUGGUAAAUUAAAGAAGAAAUAGAGGAACAAUGGCUUCCUCUAUGGUUCCGUCCGCCGCGGAGAUUAGGACCCUCACGAUCUCCUCCGACAACCGCCCCAUGAUUCUCUUCGAGAAGUUCGGGUUCACCCACAUCGGUCACGUGAGCAUCCGGGUCUUGCACGUGUCCGUCACCUCCAAGCACCCCGAUAUCGAUCCCUCCCGCUUCGGCUUCUUCCUCCUCUCCGAGAGUCCCUCCUCCAGGUCCUCGUCGAGAUCCAGCAGAACCCCCAGCUCUGCGUCUUGGACUCCCGCUACAUCACCCACCUCUUCAAUUUCAAGGAGCUCUCACCGCCGCCGCAAGCUUCCUUCAACCACUCCUACCCAGUCUCCGCCCCCAACGAAUACAGCCUCUUCUUCGCCAAUUGCGUGCCGGAGACCACCGUAUCCAUGAUCGUAUGGACGGAGGUCUACAAUCUUGACCCGGAUGGUUCCCGCGACUACCUUUCGGCCGGGUUGACCAACCUGCCAUCGCUGUUUUCGGUCUUUUUUCUCGCGUAUUUGGUGUUUGUGGGCUUCUGGGUCUACCUCUGCUACACCAACAAGAGAUCCGUGCACCGCAUCCAUCUUCUGAUGGGCGGAUUGCUUUUGAUGAAGGCGUUGAAUCUGAUUUGCACGACGGAGGACAAGCACUGCGUGAAGGGGAAGAAGAAGUUCAUGAAGCAGAUGACCCACGGGUCCAAGAGCCACAGAGCUCUCGGGUCUAUCGGUGCCGGAACCACGCCGGGGCGGGUUUACAAGGGGAAGAAGAUGCCCGGGAGAAUGGGAGGAACCAAGACCAAGAUUAGGAAGCUGAAGAUUGUGAAGAUCGAUAAGGAGCUCAAUGUUGUGAUGAUCAAAGGCGCUCUGCCUGGGUUGCCAAAUCAAGAAGAAAUAUUUUCUAUUUCACCCUAUUCCGAUGAUGAAGAAAAACAGCCCUCAAUUAUUAAAGAAUGAGUAUGGGCGUCCGUUGAAAUUAUCUCUGAAGAGGGUUGUGGGAUGCGACGCGGCAGGAAGCAAGCCGAGCUCCAAAUGGUACAGAGCGCACAUGGUGUUGACGGUGCUGACGGUGGUUCCAAGGGUCGUAGGCGGUGCUAGUAUUCACGAGGGUUUCCUCCUGCAAUUCUCCCGUCAACGCCUCCACCUCUACAGCACCGAGACUCUUCCUCUGGUCAACGAGCAGCAGCCAAGCCGCCUCGUCAUCCUCAUCUCUGUCAAGUUCCAUCCCUGCAAAUUCCUCAAACCCGUCCUCCAAAUUUAUACAAAAAAAAAUAUAAUAAAAAAUAUAUGGUGCAGAUUGCACCAUCUGAAAAGAAUAAAAAAAUAAUAAUAUAAAAAAAUAAAAAAAUAAAAGGGGAUGGUGCGGAUUGCACCAUCUGAAAAGAAAAAUAUAUAAUAAUAAAAUAAUAUAAAAAUAAAAAAAAUAAAAAUAUAUAAAAAAAAUAUAAAAAAAAAUAAAUGGUGCGGAUUGCACCAUCUAAAAGAAAAUAUAUAUAUAUAUAAAAUAAAAAUAAAUAAAUAAAUAAAAAAUUUAAAUAAUAAUAAUAAUAAUAAUAAAAUAAAAUAAAAAAAGAGAAAUGCAUUGAGAGAUAGAAGUCCAUUUUAUUUUUGGAAAUUUUACAUAAAUUUGCAUUAUACAUACCUAAAAAAAAAAAUCAAUCAAAUCGAAUUUACAAGAGGCAAUCUUCAAGGACGAUCAAGUAGCGCCUCACCACUCGGCAGAGCUCUAGGAAGAAGAUGCGCCGGAGGUUGACUGUUUGAAGCCUCAUCACUCGGCGGAACCCCAGGAGGAGGAGGCACCAAAGGUUGAUCAUUUGGUGCUUCAUUACGCGGUACAGCCCCAGAAGACGAAGGCAAAUGCUGCUGGAACAAACCCACAAACCUCUGAUGAUUAAGUAAAAUCUGACCAUCAGAUUCCUGCAUCUGGUCAAUCUUCCUCUUCAUGUUUGUCGCAUAGCUAUGUGCGAGCUUAUGCAAUUGUUUAUUCUCCUGCUUGAGCCCUCUAAUCUCCUGCUUGAGACUUAUCACUUCCGCCGCCAAUGAUUCAACUUGACGGGUUCGAGCAAAUAGGCGUUGGGCCAUAUUAGACACAGAACCUGCACACUGCACACUGAGAGCCAGAGAAUCCUUAACAGCCAACUCAUCAGACUGUUUGGAAAGUAGUCUGUUAUCUCUGGGAGUGACAAGGUUCCGGGCCACCACCGCAGCGGUCAUAUCAUUCUUCACUACUAAAUCCCCAACGGUAAGAGGACCAGUAGGGGAUAUGAAGGAUGAGCGUCAUAUGUUGUCUGGAGAAGAAGGGAUUGCCUCUUCACCAAGGUUCAAAUCAAAACGACGAUCGGAGGGGCCAUACAUUUUCAAAAUGUUGAAGAAAGAAAAGAUCAGACAAAUCAAGAUCUUAGAAGUGCAAGAAUGGAGUUUUCACAAGCGAAAAUUCAAUUGUGCUUUGAAACGAACAACGUGCCUCUAUAAAAAAUCAGCACUCGACGGGAUUUCAGAGAUCGAAGAGGCGAGCUCAGAAUUCGAAGGGGCCAAUUCAAGUAUUGAAGAGGUGCUAGCUUUCUCAAAAGCUGGGCUUGCUAAAAAAGACACGGGCGAUUUUACUUUCCAGACUUGUCCGCACUUGUCACAUGCAACCUCUACACUCGACAAAGCUCAGAAAUCGGAGAGGCAUCUUGCUUUUCCAGACGCGUCAGCACCCAUUACACGCAAACUCAACUUUGCGGAAGUCACGGGUAAUUUGUCGAAGCGCCGAUCCCAGAUAUCGAAGAGGCGCCAGUCUUUUUCAACCGCGUCAACACCUGUUAUAUGCACACUCAGCUUUGCGUAAGUCACGGGCAAUUUGUCGAAGAUUUUCGGUGAAGGAGAAAACACGUGAAGUUUACUGUUCAAUCAUCCAACGGUUGUCGACACGAGUGAAAAAAUAAUACCUCUACAGGUAUUAAGGAACUUCCUAUAACUGUCCACCUUCACCCUUCAUAACAAUGCAAACAUACAGAACCUUUCUUCAUCUCCAAAAAAAUGCUUUCCCAACGAAACCUCUCGAGUCAUUCAAUGUUCCUUAUUCCUUGGGGUACCUCUGCAAGCCAAUGACUCCAAAGUAAAAGUAUCUCAUAUCACCAGGGUAGAAAGCAAAAGUAUCUCAUAUCAUGCGUUCUCCCUAUCCUUUCCUUUGUCCUUGUUCCUACCUACAAAGACAAGGAUAAAGAAAACAAUAUGCCGGAACUUCCACUCAAACUCGGGUAAGAAACCGACUGCUUGGAACCUUUCCCUGAGUGCCUGCCUAGCACUGCUCUCGAGUACUCGUCUUCCACUGCUGCUGUACUUUCAAAGAAGCUACCAUAUCUGCCUGGAGAACAGAUAAGGCAAGUGAAAAUGAUACCUUGCAGCAUGUGGAGACAAGGUGCAGAAGGAACAAGCAGAGAAGAAUGCGUUCUGCACAGUCAACUCAGCAGAAGAAGUCCGAGCUGAAGAACUCGAGAAGCUGCCACAUCUGCCUGAAGAAACAAGCAGAGAAGAAUGCAGCAUGCACAGUCAACUCAGCAGAAAGAGUCUGAGAUAAAGAACUUAAGAAGAUGCCACAUCUGCCUGAGGAACAGAUAAAGCAAGGGAAAAUAAUACAUUGAAGCAUGUGGAGACAAGCACAACAAAGCACGUGCCGAUUCAUCCGCUGCUUCUUCAAAAUCAAAAGUAUCUCAUAUCAUCAGGGUUGCAAUCACUCUGGACGGUGAACUCGUUUUGACCCUGAAAUUCUUGGGUCGACUUACUAGGUGUUGUGGGAUGCACGUGCCGAUUCACCACCCUUGAAUCGAAUCCUUAAAGAUCAAGUCACCAACUGGAAGAAAGCCCCAUCAAUCUUGAAGAUCAUACCGUUGACCAAACUGCUCAGGUGUGAAUUAGAAAGAUUGAACAAAGAAACAGGUUGUCACCUUUACCUCGUGCCUGCUUGCCAUGUGUUCGAGUCAACCUUUAAGAAUCAAGCCUCAACGGCCCUUGAAGAAGUUUCCAACCAAAUUCAAGAUCAAGCCUCGACGGCCCUUGAGGAAAUCACAAGUCCAAUUCAAGAUUAAGUGUCUACCACCAUUGAAUCAAAACCUAGUUCAAGAAUAAGUUGUGGAAAAUCAACAAUUGGAGGAAUCCAGAAAAUCCUCCAACCCAGUUCAAGAUCAAAGCUGUGGAAAGUCAACAAGCGCAACAAAAUAUGUGCCGAUUCACCCACUACCAAAGCCAAAGAUCAUCUACCACAUGAAGCUCCUUGUGGUCCAAUUUCAACCUUCAAGAUCAAGCCUCGACAGCCCUUGAAGAAAUUUCAAACAAAAGUUCAAGAACAAGCCUUAACGGCCCUUGAAGAAAUCUCAAGCCCAAUUCAAGAUCAAGCUUCAAUGGCCCUUGAAGAAAUCUCCAGCCUAAUUCAAGAUCAAGCCUCGACGGCCCUUGGAUUGACAUCUACAGUAAAGGACUUCAAAACGCAUCUCCUACACGUGACAAGCACAUGUAUACGACGCGCCUUGAAGUGGGGGCAUUUGUAGACAUCGAAAUUUCGGUAAAUAAAUGUUGACCGAUAAAUCAAAGUGUCAACGCUCAUGUAUUACAUAAAUUUUACACGUAGCGUGUGACUCAACGAAAAUUGAAAUGAGUUGGAAAAGUCAUCAAAUAGGACACGUGUCAACACCUGGCAGAAACGACUUAUUUCAUCUGGGAUAUUAUAUUCAAAAUUAGGCCUUGGAAAAUUCUAUAAAUACAAGCCCAUUUCAUUCAUUUGAGGGGGAACCAAAAUCAUUAGGCAAAAUUCUUAAAGCUCUGAAGUUCUGAAACUCUAAAACUCCGAAGCUCUCAAGCAUCCAGGUUCCCGAAGAAUCAAGAAAUCUCUCUUCGUUCUUCGUUCAUCGUUCUUCGUUCAUCGUUCUUCCAAGAUCAAGCCCCAACGGCCCUUUGGAUCAACAAUCAUCCACCACUUCAAGAUCAAGCCCCAACGGCCCUUGAAGAAAGUGUUCUUCGUUCUUCGUUCUUCGUUCAUCGUUCUUCCAAGAUCAAGCCCCAACGGCCCUUGAAGAACUUCCACCAAUUCAAGAUCAAGCCCCGACAGCCCUUGAAGAAAGUAUUCAUCGUUCAUCAUCCGUUCAUCCAAGAUCAAGCCCCAACAGCCCUUUGGAUCAACAAACGUCGACAAAUCCACACAUCCAACCGUUCUUCAAGAUUAAGCCCAAAAGCCCUUGAAGAUCCGUUCAUCACUGUUCUUCAAGAUCAAGCCCAAAAGCCCUUGAAGACCCGUUCAUCAUCGUUAUUCAAGAUCAAGCAUUAACGGCCCUUGAAGAAAUACUCAUCAAACCCCAACGGCUUAUUGAAGAUCCGCUCAAAUCCACCUUCAAAGAUCAAGCCCACGGCCCCUUGAAAGAAACUUCCAAUAGUUCAUCCAAGAUCAAGCCUCGACAGCCCUUGGAUCAACGAAACAUCCACAAAUCAACGCCUUACGGAGAUCGAAUCAGAGGAUCAAAAUUGAGAGAGAUUGUAACCCAAAAUCAUCAAAUACAUAAUAUUUGUUUGUGCACGUUGUUCUUGUCUCUUUCGUUUCAGGAAUUUUCCGUGUUUACAGUCAUUUACGCUUUAUUCUUCUUACUGAAUUUCAUUUUUAAAAUUUUAUUUUUUGAAAACAUGAUCAUCUGGCGGAUGUAAGAAGAUGAUAUCAUGUUUCUAUAUUUACGGUUAACUGAAAUAUGAGUCAAUGUCAUAUAAUUUGUAGAAACUUUAUAAACAUCAAGCAAUAUUUUCACUAACCGUAAAACUCUAAAUAUAAUAUCAACGAUCCAAACCGUUCAUCUACCUACACCCUCUAAUAGAUCAUGUUUUCAAAAAUGAAAAUCUAAAAAAACGAAAUUUGAUAAGAACAAUGAAGCAUAAAUGUAAACAACAAUCAACGGUUAAAUUUUGAUCUAUGAAUUAUAUGAUUAUAGUAGCGAAUUUCGAAGUUAAGCUCUUCAUAAAAGUUAUAAAGCUUAUCAUUAAGAGUGUUUAUAUAUUUUUUUCUAUAUUUUUUUACACUUCUACAUUAAUUAAAAAACUAUUAAAGACUUUAGGUAAGCGAAAAUAUACUUCAAACAAAAUUGUGUUUUUAUGUUUUGGAUGUGAUAAUAUGGAAUGUAUAUACUUAUUUAGUAUUAUGUUUUUCAUUUGAUUAUUUAUUGGUUUAAAAUAUAUUUUUCUUAACGGGUAACGGGUCAGGUCAUAUUACCUGUUAAUAUUAUCGGGUCGAUUUCGGGUCGGGUCAUUUUACCCGUUUAUUUUAACGGGUGUUACACGACACGACCCGUUAAGAUAUCAGAUAUGACACGAAAACGACACGAACACGGAAAACACGAUACGAAUGCCAAGUCUAAUAUAUAUAUAUAUAUGUAUAUGUAUAUGCUUAUAUCUUAAUUAUGGGAAAAUUUUACAUGUUUUACAGCAAGGGGUUAGUAUGUUGAUAAAUGAAAUGGUUUUGUAAAACAUUUGUUUUUGCCCACUCACGUUUUCUAUUUUGCGCCCCUUUAGGUUUUAAGUAAGCUUGUUGUUGGUGGCUUGAGGAUGUUGGCAGUUCUGACUUAUCUAAAUAAUAGUAGGACAUUUCUGGUACUGUAUAACUAGUACUUGUCCUACUGGACUACACCUAAACUUUAUGCUCUGAUUAGGAGUGUUCACUGUUGUAACUAACACUAUCACUUUCUGUUUAGUAGUACACUCUAGUAAUUUGGUUUUUAAUUAUUCGUAUAUUUCUUAUCUUUAUUGCUUCAGCACUACGCACAUGGCUACGUCACUCUCACGUGACGUCCAGCAUGCCUUGAUCUCGGUCGGGGUGUGUCAGUGAAUGUUCAUGCUAUCAGGGUUGCAAAAAUAUCAAGAUAAAAACCUUUGUUUUGGAAGAACCUGAUUACGUGAUGAUAUAGAUGAACUGGUUUGUUGCAAAAAAAGCUUCAUUGUUAGAUUCUUAAGUGCAGCAGUAAGAGCGUGUUGUAGCUUAUUUUAUCUCACUACAGGGUAUGGGCAAUGGCAGGGAGAGACGUGUUUGUAGAAUCAUAGGGGAAUGUGUGUUGAGAAUGUGUUAUCUCCCUACGCAGUGCUUUUAUUUAUAGUAAUAAGAGGAAGAAUAAUUCCUUCAUCCCUAAGUAAUACAAAUCCAUAUAGGAAAGAAUAACUAAAAUAAAAUCUAAUCUAGGAUUUACACAAUCACACUUAAAUUAGGAAAGUUUAUAACACCAUCUAAAUUCUAAUAAUUAAUUAUACUUUUUUUUUAAACUAAUUAAAAGGGUUUGAAAAUUUUGAGUUUUAACGAUAUAAAGUGAAUAGUACCAAGAUUAAUUUUUUAGUGUAAAAAUGUGGUUUUUCGUUAAAGUGAACAGUACUAGAAACUUUUCUUUAAAGUUCCUUUUUUUUUUUUUUUUGAUUUUUUUGAUUGGAAAAAUAAAAAAAAUAAAAAAGGUGGAGGAGGGUGCAUCAUGCAGUGGCACGUGACUUCACACGAACGUCUUCCAGGAACUCAGGAAUUAAGCAUACAGACAAUCGCCGAAAGGUCUUCAAUUUGGGGUCACAUGAGUUAACUACGUCCGUCCGAUCAACAUACUUUUCUUGUUCCAACAAUCCAGCCGUAAAUAAUUAAACGCCACCAUAGCAUCGUACACCUGAAGCAACACCGUAAUAUAUCUCCUCUUGGCGAGCCGGAAGAGCAAGUGUCUUUGUUCUUCGCUGGAAAUAUUUUUCUAUUCAUUUUCUUUUCCGAAUUCCGAUUAUCCAAACGGGAGCGAGGAAGAAGAAUCCGUCGGACAAAAUCUCACUGACCGGAGCAUCCAAUCCAAAUGGCGGUUUCCGUGACGGCGUCCACGAUUCCUUCUCUCAGCUCUGACCGUACGACUCGCUUAGCUGCGGCGGCGGCCUCAUCCUCCUCCUCUUCUUCUUGUUCAAAGCUGUCUUCCUCUACUUCUCUGCGAUUUCCGGCGCAGCUUCGACGUGUUCGGAUCGGAACUCAGGACUCACGGCCUCGGCUUCUUCCUCCGGUAAUGAAUUUUCCGUUUUUGUAGUUUCGUAGUCUGUUUGUUUCCCGAGAAAAUCGAGGAAUUUAACCUGAUGAAAUUGUGUAGCGUUAAAAUUCCUGUUCUAAAAUUUCUGUGUUUUGUAGUGGAAGAGAUUGCAAAAUUUAAAUUUAGGAAGCAAAGCAUACAACUGCAAAUCUUGUUGUUAUCAUAUUUAUGGCCCAAACACCAAUUGCUUUGUAUUUCUUUGGUCCUUGCCGUUUCCUAUGAGUUGUGAGAAAAUCACAUGGGUCGGUUUUCGGAGUUUCCAAAUUUUAGUCUUUUCAAGAGAAUAAAGACAUUUAAUCGAAAAGUGCAGGAAAAGUAAACUCAGAGGAUGGUUUGCAAGACAUAGAUUUAGCAUGCUACAGGAGGCAUGUGGAAUAUAGAGCUUAAGGACAUGGAACUCACUAUUGAUUGUCUUUGAAAUGGUUUUGUACUUGAUUUUGGCGCACGCAGUUGAUUUUUUAGACUAUCGGUAAACUAAUUUGGAAUCAAACCUCUCUCAAACAAUUAGAAUGCACAAUGUCACCGAUAUAGGAUAUUAGGUUGCAUCAGUUUGAUCUUCCCCCAUUUUCCAGGUAAAGUACCUUUUCAUGAUAACCGUUUGGGGCAUAAAGUUGGGAAGGGACAACCUAGAACCAAAAUUAUUGAAUGGGAUGAAAGGUGUAGAUUGUAAAACUUGGAUAGUAUAUCUUGUAACGAUUUGAAUGAUAGAGACAGUGAGCAAAUCCAUAUUCGGGGCCUUCAUGCAUGGACUCGAGUGUUCUUUAAUCAUCUAAUCAGAAGCCGAUUGUUUAUACCAGUCAAUCGACGGUCCUCCUAUCACUACUGGCUUUGCCUCAAGUUACAAGUGAAGUUUCAAUUCAGGAUGAUGACCUAUCAUGUUGAAGAUCAACACCAGCCCAAUUGGUGUUUGGAUUCUAGAAGAUUCUAGCAGCAAGUCUAGAGGGCAGAGCUUCCUGAAGACUUGCACUUUGUCCAGGUGCAAUGGAACUAGAUUUUUCUAUAGAAUUAUCUAAAGCUAAGUAGUCUUUUGUAGAAAGGAUUAGAAGGAUGUUUCUUAUGUCGGUGGAAGGCUGUGUGCAUGAUCAAUGCACUAGAAAGUUCUAGUGAUAGUAUAAGUCGGCAAACAUGCCUUAUAAAUAUGUAUGUAUGAGUGUUGUAAUGUAACCAAGAAGAAGUAAGAGAGCAAACCAAGAGAGAGCUAAGUAAGAGAGUGAGAAGCCUUGUAAGUGAGUAGUCUUGUAAAGAGUGUGAGUGGUCUAGAGUUUGUCUCUAGAAGUGAGAGAGUGUCAUACGUUCUAAAUUGUGUCCUUGAUAGUUGUUGUGUUGUAAUAUUCUGUGAGUUAAUACAAGUAAUUUGUUUACUUGUUUUGUCUCUCCAACACUUGUGUUAGAGCUGUGUAUUCUAGUUUUUCCUCAACAUAUCACUUAGGUGGUUAUCCAUAUGGACCAUGUUGUGACAGUUUCAAUAGCUGCGUGUACUCUUUCUUUGCUGUCUUUGGAAUAUUUAGCCUGUAUAGCUGAAUUACGAAGUGUGACUGAAUUGGUGAUUCAGUAAUUACAUGUAUAUGUGGAAAAAAAAUUACUUUUCGUAGGUUGAAGCAAAGAAGCAAACAUUUUCAUCCUUCCAAGAUUUGCUGGCUACCUCUGAAAAACCUGUGUUGGUUGACUUCUAUGCAACCUGGUAAGCUUUUCUUGUGUAUCUCACUUCUUAUUUUGUUUGCAAUUUGUCAUUAUUGUUGUAUUGUCAGCUAAACUUUAAUUCCUAAACAAGGUGGUAGCUAUUCACCUUUUAGGUUUUCCCUCUCUAUAUAAAGGUAAGAAUAGACAAUUAAGUAAUAAACUCUGGUUGACAGGUGUGGACCUUGUCAAUUUAUGGCACCCAUCCUCAAUGAAGUCAGUAUUACGCUGAAUGACAAGAUCCAGGUUGUGAAAAUUGACACAGAGAAGUAUCCUAGCAUUGCUGAUAAAUAUAACAUACAAGCAUUGCCUACUUUCAUCAUAUUUAAGGAUGGAGAGCCAUUUGACCGCUUUGUAAGUUGAAUUUGUUCUCUUUUUUCCUUUGGGAGAUUAAUAUGUUUGCCUUUGGUAGACGAUCAAAUGUCUAGAAAUGUGUAAUCUGUCACAUAACAUCUCAUACUGAUUGCAUGCUUUUUAUACGGCCAGAAUAUGGACGGGUAUUGUCAAGUUGUUACGAUUUGCUGUUAAUUCCACUUUUUAGAUUUUGUAAGAUAUCCUAUGCACUUGCAUUGGUUUACAAUUUCGUCAGGUGUGUUGCUUUGCAUGCUUUUCUUCUUCUUUUGCUUAGUUUUGAUUCGAAGAUGUUGAAUUUUAAGGAUUUAUGUUCUCUUAGAUCCAAAAUAUUAAAUAGAAUAAAUAAUGUAUGUUCUCCGUGCAUGUAUGCAAGGCACUGUUAGAUUAGUUUUGGCGGUUUUUCUUUUUGGUUUUUUGGUCGAUUUUAAAUAUCUAUGAUGACUUUGCUUUCAUUACUUGCAGGAGGGUGCUAUGACUGCUGAUCAGCUUGUCGAACGAAUAGAAACUACUUUGAAAGUUAAGUAGGAGACAGGUGAGCUCUAUAAUAUUCGUGAGUUGAGAGCACUCGUAUCGUCCGCUGUUCUUUCUCUGCUUCCUCCUCCCCAUUUCCUAACCUUUCCUUUUUCUUCACUCUUCAUUUAUUGGUCCAGCUUCUCAGGUUGAACCGAGAAGCUGAUCGAUUCAGCCGCAUUGCAAGAAAAAUGGAUUUUAUGAAGAAAGGCACUGGAUGUUUCCUCUGCUUUUUUAUUUUUUGUAUGUAACUGGUUUGUACCAACAAAAAAGUUACGAGACUUGGCGUAAUCGCACGGGUAAAGCUUAGUGAAAACAAUUUUACGAUGUCAGUUUCUGUUGUGAUAUACACAUCCACAUCAGUUGCAUUUGAUUGAAAUUCAUGAUUUGGAAAAGUUAAUGAAAUUUUGUGGACAUUCAUUUCAUUUGCAAUGCAACUUAGACCUUAUUGGCAAUUGGUUUGUGGACACAAGAUUUACUACUUAAUUUGGAUACCUUGUCAAAUUAGAGUCAAUAAUUAACAAUGGCAUAUCUAGUAAGAAGUUAUUUCUGCAUGCCUCCCUUCCCAUUUCCUACGGCUGUUUAGCUUGCAAGCACACAAAUCAUUUGUAAUAAAGAUAUGCAAAUACGAGAUCAAAUUCAUCGAGAUUGAAUGAACAAUAAUUUGGUAUCUUAUGUUUAGCUGCGGACAUGACUGACCUCAGGAGGUCUCAAUGGAAAAAAUUUCAGAAAAAAUGUAGACAAAAGUAACAUUGAGGAAUUAAAUGAUAAUUCUUUUCAUUCGUAAAUAAUAGUGUAAACAAUGUUAUUACAAUCUACAAAGUCCAAAAUUAUCAUCGACGAGUUUUCAUAUUUUGAAAAUGUUUAUGAUAGUUUCAUACUCAACGAUCAAUCCACAACUCUAAUAACUGAAAUUUGAGAAUAAUGAGUACAAAUAGUGAACUUGAUACACUAGGAAGCUUAAGGAGGUCCCAGAAAGUCCAUAUUCGGGGCCUUCAUGCAUGGACUCGAGUGUUUCUUAAUCAUCUAAUCAGAAGCCGAUUGUUUAUACCAGUCAAUCGACGUCCCAGAAAGUCCGCUCUUCUGCUUCGACGUUGCUGAACCCGCUCUACCAUGGAGACGGCUCCCUCCUCGUCUUCCUACCCAUGGCACGGGUUUAGUCCUCCUUGAUGGUCAGCUAAUGUUCACCUAAGCUUUCGCACUUAGUAAACAAGCCUUCACUAGUUGCCUGGAACAUAACUACUAUUACUAUGAUGAUUAUUACGCCGACCACCACGGCGUUUAUAAUGCUUCUGGUUCUAAUUGGGGUGUAGUAGCCUGUCAACUGUCCAGUACCGAUUCCGAUGACUUCGGAACUUGGAUUAAGCCCAUCCAAAUUCUGGAGCCAAGGUUGCCGAGUGAAUUUUGGGGGCGAUGCACACUUAUAGCUUUGCUCAUCUAGGAGGUUCAAAAGUAUGCUUUGUUCUUUCCAAUCCCAUCUCGCACCCAAAAAAAAUUUGUCUUUGGAAGGUGCGUCUUCUUGUUCAAACUUUUGAGUUUUCCUUCUCCAAACAAAGUACCACCCUCACUAGUGCUGCUUUAUUUUAUUGUUUUUUAUUUUUUGUUUUUUUUGGAAAACCUUAAUGGUAUAAGGGUAAUUUUAUUGAUAACAAAAAAAUAAGUUACACCUAGACAGAAGGGGACAUAAACCUUACCCCUCAUAAAACAGAGACAAUAAAUAGGAAUACACGAAAAAGAAGGGGGAACAUAAACCUUACCCUUCUAGAAAUAAAAAACGAGAAUGAUACAAAGAAAAGAGGGGGGGGACAUGAAACAUAAUCCCUCUAAAACCAAACCUAAAGGUCUAAACUUGCAAAACAAGUCAAACAACCCCAUAAAGUUAGGAGAAAAAAAAAAGUGAGACAAACCUGGAUGCCGACAUGCACAUUAAUUUGAGAAGCAAUAACCAGGCAAGCCAACAUAGUCUGAAAACAAAGCAGCACAAACCGCCAUCGGAGGAGAAUCAUGCCAAGUUAAAGAUGGAGAAGACAAUCCCAUGUUAGCAAAAUUGUCUGCAACAAGAUUUACUUCACGAUGUACAUGAGAUACAUAGAAAGUCAUUUUCCGAAUACGAUCUAAACAAAUAGACCAUUGCGUAUGAAGAGGCCAAGGAGGAUCAAAAUUAGACGAUUGAAGAGCAUAAAUAACACUAGAACUAUUACUUUCAAACCAAAGACAAUGCCAACCCUAUUGAUAUGCAAACUCAAUACUAAUAAUAAUUGCUAAUAACUCUGCAAAAAAAAAAAAAAAAGUUGCGAUGACCAAUGCAUUGACAGAAACCUCCAAGAAAACAACCAUGACAAUUCCUGAAAAAUCCUCCACAUGUAGCAGGAUCAGAAUUUCCUUUAGACAAACCAUCUGUAUUAAGCUUAAACCAAGGAAACCAAAGGACAGGAAGAAUAGUAGGUGCCUUGCGAGGGAUAGGUUGGAUCCCCAAAGAAGAAAUGAUCCGAGUGUCAAAACCUUGAGAAUAACCAGAAAUAAACUUCCCACCAUGAACAAUCGCCGAAUUGAUAGAAAUGCAAAAGACGAUGAAAAUAGAUUGGACGACCCUAAAAAAUAAAUUUAUUUUGAGCCUUCUAAAUAGCUGAAAUAGUAGAAAGACCCGCAAAAAUCCAUAGAUUGUGCAACUGUUUGGAAAAUGGCUUACAGACAUAGACAUCCCAAAAAACAACCAAAGAAUCUGAAAGAGGCAAAAAUGUACCAAAUUAACAUACUAACCACCUCCAAAGUUGCCUAGAUAUCUGACAUCCAAUGCUGCCGAUGAUGGUGAUGAUUAUAAUUAUAAUGAUGGAGGCUGCGAUUCAAAAAGAUCAUUCGAUUUCUCCUCUUUCAAAGCCGACAUCCUCUCCACUCGCAACUUUGAAUACGAUUGGUGCGGAGAAUCUUUUGAGACUGCUCACGCAGCCGUGCUUGGUUGCUUUGCCCUGUAAGUUUCGUCGGUAAGGUUAACUUUCCAAUUCUAUCCCAUUUUCUGUAUUUGCUUUCUCCUGCGUGCGGCCUUAACUUGUAACUGUACUACGUAGGAAAGCAUUAGUCAAUGUAUUUCCUGUGCACACACUAUCACUUGAGGAACAAGUUCGACUGCAUUGUUUGCGAUUUAAGUCAAUCUAGACCCUGCAUUGCAACUCGCAUUGGGUCUUACUGGAACUACUUACAGCGAGCAUGCAAAACCCCCUGCGUGUUGAUUGAGGUUCUGAGGGGGAACACUCCAUCAAGCACGUUGAAGAUAUGGUCUGUAGCAGCAUUGCUUGGAAAUUGGAAAUUGGAGAUCUGCCUAGCUAGCUACUAUUUCUGUGUCUAGCUCCUCAUGUAGUUUUCUGUUAGGUAAUUUUUUUUUUUUUUUAAAUGGAAGAACAGGCAUUUUAUUAAAUAAAAAAAAAUAUUUAGUCAUAUUUUUAGGCUUAUUAUAUUUAUACCCUACAUAUUGUUGAAUAAACCUUAUAUACUUAAUACACCUCAUAUUUACUUUUUCAAUUAAAAUUUAUCUUAAUACACCCCAUUUACUUUCCCAUAUUACCCUCCCACCCCCAUUCUCAACAUACACCUUACAUUUUCUAUAUACACCCCAAAUUUUUUAUAACUCAGUCACAAUCAAGAUUGGAGGAAGAUAAGGCUGCUGAGACUUUGUUGAAGGUGGCAGACGAGGUUAUACGCUGAGGUUUAAUGACAAAAAUUCGAGGGUAAAAGCAGCAAGGGAAAGGAGAACAAUUAGAGGGUCUCUUGUAAUGUGAAUGGCACUAGGACUUUGCCCAGAUUGGCAAAAACGUAGCUGAAUGUUGAUGUAGUUUUAUUGCAUUUUCAGAUGUAUGAAAAAAAAAAACAUAUUUAUUUAUUGGUGUUGAAUUGCAGAACAAAGAUUGUGUUUAGCCAUUUUAUUACUAUUAUCAUUUCUUUAAAUUGGGGUUAUGCCGUGAGAUGAUAUACAUAAGGAAAUAUUGUUAAUUUCUUCGCACUCCAUUCAAGUUCUAACCUUGUAGUUUCAUCAUUUUGCUUGCCUUUGCUGGGAAGACAAAAAAAAUAGAUAAAUAAUACGUUAAAAGUGAUUUGAGGUUUAUUCAGAAUUUUUUUAUAUUUUUAAAAAACUAAUAAGGUCAAAAUUGACAUUGUAUAGAGUGUAUAAGUUAUUUAAUAUCGAAUUUGAAUGUGAGGUGUAUUUAUCAGUACGGAUGUGUACAUCUUUUAUUGGCACGGAAGUACUUAUCGAUUAUGCAUUGAAUUUUUUAGUAAUUUAAUUCAAAAUGUGAAGUAGCUUUUGUAAAGUUACCGAAAGCGCCGUGACGGAGAUGAAGAUGGAAAUGGUGUAAAACUUUUGACGAGUUGAACCGAAAGCGCCGUGACGGAGAUGGAGGUGGAGAUGGAGAUGAGGGCCGGGGAAGAAAUAGAGAUAGGACAAGACAUAACGCCACCGCUCCCUCCGCUUUCUUCCUCUCUCCACCACUCCCUCCUCUCAUCUCACUGCUCUUCCUGCUUCUCCCCUCUCCCUCCCCAACCCUUCCCUCCCCUCUUUACUCCUACCUUUCCCAACACUCCCUCCUCCUACUACUGCUCCUCCCUCUGCUCCUCCGCCGAUUCUCCCCUCCACGUCUCCAGCGCCGAGCCCUACCUUCUCCUGCUUCUCCAAUCCCACCCCUCCGCCUACCCCAACGGCGACUCCUCCGACCUCCGCGCCGCCCUCCGCCUCCUCCAAUCCCUUCCCGCCACCUCCCCCUACCCUCGCGUAGCCGGCCUCCUGACGAAUCGCCACAAACUCCUCCACCACCACGACCAUAGGGUUCGCGACGGCGCCAGAGCCAUGUUCCUCGCCAGGAAGAUGCGGGAUGAAUCUCCGAAUUUCUCUAUCGAUGCGACUAUUGCCAACGUUGCUCCGCACGACGCCGUAUUGGAGGAGGCCGUGCUGUCAUUGGUGCUAACGAACGCCGUGGAGGUGCAGGAUAAGACCGGGCGCACCCUUGGAAUUUCCGUCUACGGUCCCAGCUUCUGCUGGAUCAACCACAGCUGCUCCCCGAAUGCUUGCUACCGCUUUUCUUUGAUGACACCGCCAACGCCACCUUGUUGGCCCGAAACGGCGCUGCUGCGCAUUGUCCCCUUCGGCCGCUCCUCCGGUCGUGCCACACAAGUAAUCCCUGCAAAUUUGCACCGUUUGUUUAAUUUAUAGUGGAAUAAGAUUGAAAUUCAGGGUUGUGAGAUGGAUAUUUGUUGCAGAUUGAGAAUGGUGUUUGUAGCAAUAAUGUGUUAGCAAAAGGUGUUGUGGUUUUUUUAAGUUUUCGUGCUUCUUUUCGGUUUUUGUUUGUUUGAAUUAGUACACCAAAUUUACCAGUAUUAUUGAACCAUUCGUGUAUAUUACGAAUGUAGAAAGCCGAGGUUAUGGUCCAAGAGUGACGGUUAGGAGCAUCAAGAGAAUCAAGAAAGGCGAAGAAGUGACUGUUACUUACACUGAUUUGUUGCAGCCUAAGGUAUCUGCAUUUUAUCUAUAUACACAUUAUACAUGGAUCAGCGAUUGGAAUUUUGAAUUCAUAUAAUCCACAUCUGUUUUGUCAAGUUAACUGAGCGAUGUUUCGAUGACUGUGAGAUGAGAAUUUGCUAGUGUCAUUUUCUGCUUAUUGUCCCUGUCUUAGGAAACUAAACUUGAUGAGACAAUGCAAGGCAAUCCGACUUCUUUCCACUUUAGGGAUUAGCUAAAUCUUGCCCCAUUUGACUUUUCUUUUACUUAUUUCCAAUUUUAAUUGUGUUGAUGUUAUAUUUUAAUCCCUUUCUUUUAACGUCACAUUUUCUUUUCUUCUCAUGAGCUCCUCCAGGCAAUGAGGCAGUCAGAGCUAUGGUCAAGGUAUCGGUUUAUCUGCUCUUGUACGCGAUGUAGUGCAUCACCCCUAACCUACGUGGAUCAAGCUUUGGAGGUGGCAAUUCAUGAAAACUUUUUCUUUCUUUCUUGAUAUUCUCAAUUAAAUACUAAUUCUUAAGUCUAUUUGGAGUUCUUCCGUAAUAUCUUUAUACUAUUGAUUUUACAGAAAUUAUAAAUGCACUAGGAUAUUUGUACUUCUAGAUUCUUGUUUUUGUAUCCCCCCCUGUAUAUAGUUUGGCCUUCACUUUGAACAAAAGCUCUUUUUCAACUUGAACAUGAAUUACCUCCUAACCAUUUUUCUUCCUCUCUGGCAGUCAACUUUAUUUCCUAGGAUGUAGCUAAUGUUCUUAUUGGUGUUUUUUGAAUAAUCAUUAACCUUCGGUUUCAAAACUCCAGGAAAUAUUUGCAGUCAAUUCCAACUCCUCCAGUUUGAGUUUAGAAAUAAACUUCAAUAGAGAUAAGGCAACGCAAUUGUUGAGUGUUUACUUUGAUGAUGCUAUUGACGACUACCUGUCGAGUGGCGAUCCUGAAUCUUCUUGUGAGAGGCUUGAGCAUGCGUUCACACAAGGACUCUCUGAUAUGCAAUUAGAUUGCAACGGAGAAACAUCUCAGCUGAGAUACUGGUUGCACCCAUUAAAUUACCUCUCCCUAAAUGCCUACACAACAUUGGCUUCAGCGUAUAAAAUCCGUGCAACUGACAUGAUAGCUUUAUGUUCUAAAAUGGAUGAUCAUCUGUUAAAAGCUUUGAACUUAAGCAGGACUAGUGCAGCAUACUCCUUACUACUUGCUGGUGCAACUCACCAUCUGUUCCGCUCUGAAUCGUCUCUAAUUGUAUCUGUUGCAAAUUUCUGGACAAGCGCAGGGGAGUCAUUGUUAACUCUUGCUAAAAGCUCAGUCUGGAGUGAGUUUGUCCACCGGGAUCUGCCUGUGUCAAAUCCAUGUUCCACUGCAAGUUAUAGAUGUCCAAAAUGCUCAUUGAUAGACAAAUUUGAAGCUUGUUUAUUCUAUGGUCAAGUUCAACAUGCAGAUUUUGACGAUGUCUCAAGUGAAUUCAUUGAUUGCGUCUCUAACUUUACACAGAAUGUUUGGAAUAUUUUGGCUCUCAGUUGCCAGUACCUUAGAUUGAUUAAGAGUCCUAUUGAUUUCAGUUGGCUUGGUACCACAAAAGAUUCCAGUGUAGGGGAAGUUCUGAUUCGGUCUAGUGGCACUAAAGCGGGUUCUUGUGGGACUGAGAGAAGCAUUUCUGGAAGUGAAGCAGAGGGAUACACAGCCCAGGUACGGAUAUGUAUUUUUAAGCUCGGUGUCCAUUGCUUACUAUAUGGAGGAUAUCUAGCGAGCAUAUGUUAUGGUAAUUCCCAUUUGACCUGUUAUGUUCGUAAUAUUUUAGAUAUGGAAGGGAUAUUAUUGAAUCCUUGUCAUGAACCAAAUUGAGUUUGAGAUCUUAGAAGUUAAAUUAUUCCUGUUUUGGUGUUAAUUGCUGUGUUAUUAUACUCGUUAAGAAUCUGUUAAAAAUGUUGGUUGCAUAUAUCGUCUUCUCUGCUUGUGAUUUUUCGCCUCGAACUCUAUUCGUCUUGCAUGAUGCCCCAAGGAAUCAGCCACACGUAUCAGAAGUUUGUGUCAACGGAUUCAAUUUGAUAGACUACAGUGGGUUUCAAAAUAGAAUAAUCCGCUAUAGCUGUUUCAUAUAUCAUUUCGGUUCAGUCAAAUUAAAGAACCAAAAUUGAAAUCACAAUUGGAUUCGAUUUGGAAACAUCUGAAAUACAAAAUUGAAACCACAAUCGAAUUAAAGAACAAAAAUUGUCAUCUCCUGAUGCAUCCCUGUUUCUAUUUGUGUUCGUGUUUGUGUCAAAAAUACAUCGUAAGAAUGUUAUAACAGUUGCAUACUUAAAGCGACGCCCUACUGAAUGUUACAAUAGAUGCAUACAAGACCGUCGCUAAUGUCAAUGUUUCUUCUUUUUGUUGGACUUUGAGUUGGAGCCAUGCUCAUUUUUAUGUCGCUUUUCCCCACUCUUGUGACUCUCUCUCUGUUUUCCUUUAUCCAUUUUGUUUCUACUUGAUUUCACGCUAACGAGACCACCAGCAGGUAGGUUUGCACCGCCAUUCUGUAAUGCAUUCUCAAAGUCUGCAUCUCUGUCCCCAAUCGCGUACUGUUGAAGCAACUUGGGAUCUAAUGACCCCUCCGAGUUGGAUCUCAUCCCAUCCUGUAUGUGCGUAGUCAAGUCAGCCCAACUCUUGGGAUUCAGAACGCGGGAAAGAGAGGCAGUUCAGGUAACACGAAGGUAAGGAAGGAAUAAAGCGUACCUCAACUUUUCUUGCAGCAUCAUUGAGAUCAUCAUCAACAGAGAUCUUGUGAGGUUCCAAGAGAGUCUGAACCAAAAUUUCCGAAUCAGAGUGGAGUUACAACAUAGGCAGAAGAAAAGCACAGUAGCAUACAUACACGCACGCACGCACAAUUAUAAUGUGAUAGACGAUGUUUAAGCUUGCAUUAAGAAACACAAUAAUGUAAACUUAGCGAUUACAUAUCAAACAAAAUAGUUCAGGUACCAAAGUGGCUCACGCGCAACACACAUGUCAAUAUCAUAUAGUUAAGCCAACUAGAAUCAUAAUGCAUCCUACGACAUGAAAUUAUUAGAAAGAGAUGGAAACCACCAACAUAUCAUGUACUUUCCAUAAGAAAAAAAAGGGUUACUGCUUUGCUGAACUUACUUCUUUUGGUUUAGGCAAGGUUGACACAAGGCCCUCAGAUGCAAUAGCGUAUAGAUAUUUGUGAAACUUUUUCAUAACUUUUAUAAACAGAGACAAUAUUUGCUGCCUUUCCAGUUUCAUCAACCCCUGGAAAACGUGAAUGUAAGUAAAAAUCUACACCUGAUAAGAAUGAAAUAAAGAGCAGAAAUGACGCCACCAAGUAGAGUGUUUUGUCUUUGCAAGUGGGUUUGAUUGCGUGCUCGCAUUGCAUCUAUGUGACUGGUAUAGCCAAGCAAACCAUAUGAGUAACAAGUAGAGAAACAAACCUCAAUAUAGGAGAUAUCUUGAUUCUGUAAGCCAAUGCAGAGCAAUAUGGAAGCCUGGGCACCUGUCAAUGUCACUGGAAGUUUCUCUUGGAAAUACAGAUGUGAAAGCGUUGGAACAAGAUCCAAAAUCUGUAAAAUAAAAGCAUAACUUUAACAUGUGUAAAGUUAUAAACAAACGAUAACUAGAGUACAAGAGGACCUCAGUUUAGAAAAUGACACUUAAUUUCAAAUUCAAAUGGACCCCAGGGUUUAAACUGUAAUUUUAAAAACAAUUCGCAGGUAAUUUGAAGAAAGUAAGGUCUGUUGGUUAAGGAUGAAAAUGCAAUAAGCCCUCGGAUCCCUCCUCCCCACUAUCAUCUAUGCCUAACAGGAGGAAGAACAUCUUGACACAUUCAAACUGGCAGCCUUUCCCAAAAAACAGAAGGAAGCAGAUAAUCCACUCAAACCAUAAUCAACAAAAAUGGACGACAUGCCAUUGACCAGGAUGCACUGCACCUUCCUGAGAACCGCACAACAAAUGGGUUCACCUCCCUCAGGGGCAUACCCACAAGGGGGUGGGAUUGGGUGGGAGGGGAAGAGAAGGGGUCUAAUAGCCUAAUCGCUGUUGAUUUCAUCUUUUUAUGUAACACAGAGCACGGGAUGAAACAUCGGCCACAGAAUCCUACACACAAAUUACUUGUAAAGUACACAAAUUCCCCUUCUCAAACAAGCAAUUUUGAACUUUUAAUGUGUAACUGAACAUAUAUAUACAUAUAAUUAGAUCAAUAACUAAACACAAUGUCCUAAUAGUUCACUUUUGAAAAAGAUUAUUCAUAAAACAUUGCAAGAGUAAUAUAUGUUCACAAUCAUGGUAUCAGAUUGUCCACAGUAAGAAAACAAAUAUUUCACCACUGUCAACUAAAAAUUGUAUCACAAUCACAAUCAUAUUGCCACACUGAGACGAUAAUUCUAUCACAAAGGAAUACAAUUUUUCUUUUGUAAUGCAAUAUUACUUUCUUUUUCUAAAGGAAAGCAUAUUUUGUCUUGUAACGCAAAUAUCUUUUUUGAUUCUAAGGGAAGUAUUUCUUGUUCUGUAAUGCAAACAUUACUUCUAUUUUUAAUAUGAAUGUAUGGAAUCAAUUAGUAAUCCUAAGAUAAAAAAAUCCCAAAACACUACAUAGCACUAUGACAGGGCAAGUUGGCAAUCAACCAUUGUUCAGAGAACUUACCAUAUGAAAGUCAGCAAGACUGCUGGUGUAGGCCUCCAGUCGCUUCAUAUCAUAAGGCGAAAGUAAGUCUGUGAUAGACCGUAAGAAUCCAUCUGUGGUAGACGAUUUGGGUUCUCCAUCCUUGUAAUUGAUCUUAGGAUCUAAGAUGCUGGAAAAUUAUUAGUUAGUACGAGCACUUGAACAAUAAGCAUUUAUCAGAAUGGAACUUUUAAUAGUACCUCAUAGCGAGCCUAUAAUCCAUUGUACGAAAACUAUAACCCAAUAGUCUCAAAAAUCUUCUCCUGAAAUCUAGGUAGCCAACAAAUAAUCAAGCUGUGAACUGAAAUACAAAAAAUCUGCACAAAUUUAAAUAGAACAAAGGUUUUCCAAAGAAAAAUGGGCCCACCUAGGUUGAAUGGACGAAAAUCACUGGUUUCAAGUUCAUCAUUCUUCAAAGAUUUGAGGACCAUACACGUAUGCUCCCCGGUCACACCACUCUAUUACAUUGAAAAGAAAAAUGAAAAAUUAUUGUUUAAUCAGUCAUUCAUUCACAAAUGAUAAUAUUCAAAAAAACAGUAAACGGAAAAAAGGAUUCAGUAUGGAGAGGGGAAUCCAUCUUAACUGGAAUAUGUCCAAUAUAGAAUGGAGCAAACUUAUGUUUCCACCAAAACCUGAAAAGGUCCAAGGUAAGCCCAAAGGAGACACCAAUAUAAUGGAGCUUCUCUGGUCGCCUUUCACGAAGAUGAACAAGCAAAUGAGGAAGAUCUGUUCUAGGUUUUAUACUUUCUUCCAGCAAUGAAACCUAUAAAUAAAAUAGACAUAGGUAUCAUUCCGAUAAACAAUAUCAAGGCACAGGCGGCAGGUUGAUUAAUACCAAACAAACAAACCAAUACAUGAUAAUAUACUUUGAUGUCAUUAUGAUUAAAAUUAACACAACAAAUGAUCAUUCACAAAAGUUUGUCAAAUUAUAUUCAAACACAGAAAUUGUUCUACAAUCACCGGAAUGAAGCUUAACCAACUCAAACACUUCGACAGAACAAGAAUUGCAUUACCAGAAACCUAUGAGUUACAAAAUUGCCUCCAAUUGCAAUAAUAAUACAUAGAAUAGUCUCGUAUAAGCAGUUCUCCAACCUAUUAAUUAAAAAUAUUUAUAAAAAAAAAAAAACUAAGCUUGGUGAUUGUAGUUCACCUUCUCAGCAGCUUCUGUGACUCUGAGUGGGGGAGUCUCAACAUCUUCAACGUCCAGUUCAGAAAUAGGAGCAAACUGUCCUUCGUAGUACCUGAGGAGAAAUAAACCCUUAACACCCAUUUUUUCAAAUAUAAAAACAUAAAUGUGAAGCAUCAACUUUUAGAACCAAAGAGAUUCAGUGCAAUUUUCAUGUCAAAACACUUUUAUCUCAAUAAUGAAGUACUUAUGAGUUACAUUGAUACAAGAGCAAUGCAUCCCACAUAUCACACACAUUCCUUAUAUCUGGAUCCCCAACAAUAGCAAUCCAAUGUCACCCACAUAGCACAUGAUACAUACCAGAGGUGUCCCUAGAAUGUCCACAUCAGCCAUUCCUUAUAUCUGUGUCCCCAAAAACAUUUGCAGUAAAAAGUACAUGGACUUAUGAGCACAAAGGGAUAACGGACAUGUAUGGGUUGACUUGAGAGAUAAACCAAGUAAAGUAAGUUCAAGAAAAAAUCUAGGACCAAAUAGGAUACAAGGUCAGAAUCAGUGUGACCCAUCUAAAAAGUUAGGACCCCACAUUAAUUUGUGCAGUCAACAACGAGGAUCCAUCUUUGGAUUAUUAUCCUAAAACGCUCUAUCUUUGGAUUAUAUCCUAAAGUGCUGCUGGUUAAGCUUGUUUCUGGUUUUUCUCUGUUGGAAAUUUCAAUUACUAACGAAAUAUCCAAUCUUCAUUUAAACAUACAGAUUUAAACUCAACUGUUGGCACUGCAGACUCUUGGCCAUUGUUGGGAUUGAAAUAAGCUAGAGUUUCUCAAGAUAAAUGCGGAUGAGGUGGGUUUUAUUUGAGAUAGCGAAUUCCAUGUGUUUGUGGAUUUAUUGCCAAAGCAAUUUGGGAAGAUCCCUGCUGUUUCCUCCAGAUGGAUGGGGUUAUAAUUUCAUUGUAACUUUUCUGAAGUAAGUUUUAGUUGGACUCCUUUUCUUUGCAAUGGACAACUUCUCCUCCUUUCCUUUAGAAAAUGCUUUGCUUUGCUGAAUUUUUCGUAACUCUUAGAAAUGUAACCCAAACUAAGAUGAAAACCCCCAACAUGACCGUAUUUUAAUAUGCUAUCACUUCUAAUCCUCUAUAUCUUUCCACUUGUUUCUCCAACUACCAUCAUAUGACUCGAGAGUUGUAUUGUGAGAAAGUCAUCUGUAUAUCAAAACUGAAAUCAAAUGAUCAUCUCUUCAGCACCCACAUGGUCUAUGUUCUAUAGCUUUCAACCCAAGUGAACUGAAAGCAUGAGACUCACAUUUUGAGUUGCGACUUUAUGUGCCUGAGCCAGGGUGCAUAUGCAUGAUUGCUUUUCAUUCAUUUUAGAAAUCAUUUGAAGCAUUGCUUCAGACAUAUAAUCUUCAAUCUUUUCACCUUUUUUUUUAUGACAAACAGUAGCGUUAGUGGGUUAAAAGUUUAUUUGUUAGGGGGAGGGGAAUCGAUGGGCAUCAAACCCGCACCAGGGUGCAUAUGCAUGAUUGCUUUUCAUUCAAAGUGUAGCAAUAUGGGGCUAAAAGAAUCACUCAGUCAAUCUUUCUCAACACCUUAGGCAUCCACAUACACAUUGGGAUCAUGUAUGUGAUCUACAAAAACGUUUAGGUGGGGAAUAACUCAAAGAGGAGCAUACCUUGUCAAUAGUUCCACUGCUUGUGAUCCAUAUCCAAUCUACAACAACGAAAAAUAAAUUACCAUUUCAACAGAUCCCUGGUUAUAGAUUACCAUUUCAACAAAAUCCUGGUUAUACAUAUUGCUUUGGAAACCAUAAUGAGAGAAUACCUUCAUGGCACUUGGAUGUGUAGCAAUUCGUACAAUCCGAGCACCUGAAAGACUGGGAAAAACUGUGUCCUGAAAUUGCUCACAGAAUUUCCAUGGUAUCUGGUCACCAGAAGGCUGAUGACCAUCACUUAAACUUUUCAUUGCAGAUUCACGAGAGAUCUUUCCCUCAAGGCAGACCUAAGAACAAAAUGAUAGCACAUAAAAUGUUGAGCAUCAAAGAAUUAGUGUUUUAUAGAAGAUGAAGUACGUGUUUAAAGUGUUGUCCUUUAUUGCUAUUUCACAUAAGGUAAAAUUAUAAAUAAAAAAACUAAUAAAAUUUUGGGUAUGCGUUAAAUAACUAAAAGAAAUAAUAGUCCUGAACUAGGGGAAGACAGUCAAACCUGAAUGACACACAAAAUAUCAGGAAGCUGAUUUUUUGACUCAUCAACAGGGCCUGCACGUGCAAAUUAUAAUCAAGUCCAGCCAAAUAGCGGCAAAAAAAGAAAGACCAGUUCUAACGUAACAUAUAUACCAAGUAGCACAAACAGGUGGUGAGCCGGGGCAUCAGCCAUUAGUUGCAAAUCAUUUGGAGAAUUUUUGUAGUGGGAGGCAACAUAUAGAGCCAUCAUCCGCUGCAAGUAUUAGAAUAUGUAAGUUCACUAAUAUGAAAAUGAGAAUCACUAGUCUGACAUUACUUGAACAUGUAAUUACCUGUAAGAACAACUCGCUAUCUUUAUGAUAUGAAAAAAGCGUAUCACAGUUUACGUAGUACAGAUCGCACUCACUGGGUGCAGGUAACCUAGCCGCCAAGAGAGAGAGAAGAGAGAGAGAGAUCAUUAAUAAAGGUAAGGGUUAUAAUGGAGAUGGUUACAUCUUCCUCGGUUCUGACUGUCUAAGCAAAUGUUUUUACCCGUUAAGUUUAGGGAUAUAAUUUGUGAUAUCCAAGCAAAGUAAACCAUGAAGCCAGGAUUCAAUCGGAUCACCAGAAGCAUAUCUGAUAGAUUCUUUCAAUUCUAUCUUUUUGAAAAGACGACCUACAAUCAGGGACAUUUAUCAAUUCAGAAAAUUAUGUCCAAAUAUCACAAAAUAGUUUUUAAAAAAUUAUACAUUGCUCACUUGCAAGCGCCAACAGUUCAAGUAUUUCAGAAACAAUAAUGUUAAGAGAAAGCAGAAGAAACAUUGAAUUUUGAAAAUAAAUUCAAGUUUUGGGGGGAAAGGGGGAUUUUGAUCCAACCUAAUUCAAGAUGAGAAUACAAAACACGGCCAAUAAGGAAUAAGCAUACCAGAUGUAGGCCCCUUAGCAGACACUUGGCUUUGCUCUUCCAAUUGCUGUAGAAGUUUUAGGGACAAAGACCGACCAGUACCUUCAUAGCUUUCAGUGUAAAAUAAAUGUCCUUUAGUAUUUAAAUUGCACUUAGAUUUUUUUUUUUUUACCAAAAGUUGAAUUCAGAGUUGACUUAUAAAUAGAAAGACAUCAAGCAUGAGUCAAGGAAAAGUGGAAACAGCCCAUGAAAAGUGAAAGAUCUUUCAUUCCCCCCCGCGGCCGUAACAGAAAGUGAAAAAGUGAAGUGAAAUAUGUUUCAUGAGACUGUUAAAACCAAAAAAGAACACAUGAUAAGAAUACACGACAUGAAGGAAGAAGAACAUGGAUGAAUCUUACCCAUUAACAGUAGAUGAAAGGAAGACCAGAUAAGGACCAAGCAAAGACUUCACUACUGGUAGUGGAAUAGCAGCUGCUUCAUCAACAACCAACAGUUCAACUUGGGAAAGCUUUUCAUGCUCAUGUGGCCGUAUAUACUGCAAGUACAAGUAACAAAAGUAAAAAACAAAUAGCCCCAAAAGCAAUGAGCAGUACAAAGUUCUUUCUUUUAGGCUACAUGAGGUGUAAAGGUCUAGACCACCUCACAAUCUCACAGGCAUGUUGAGUGCCUCUAUACCAUACAUACUGGAUUAGUGCCAGGAAGACACAUUAGGUUGACCAAAAAGUUUGGCGUUUCAGGAACAUGCUUUUAGAAGCAAGCUUCAGUAAUCACAAACCAUCUAAAUUAUGUUCAAUAUGCUCACACCAAUAACAAAAAUGAUGCACUUGGGCAAAAGUACAAUAGAAUUUUUGGAGUAGUCAAACAAAGACAACCACUAAUCAUAUAUGAGGGCAUACGACAUUUGAUGGGCAAAAGGUGAACACACUCAUGGCUAUUGUGAUGCGGCUAUCCAAUAGAAGAAUAUUCUCUAUUACAACUUGGUUAUCAACUUUUCAUGAGUAACAAUUCCUCCAUGUAUUUGUAUUUUGGUAUCAACUGACUAAACAAAAUCUUUAUUGCUAUUUUUUUAUAGAAAACGAGAUUUUAUUAAACAGCUAAAAAACAAUACAACACUUAGUGGACUAGGAAGUCCACCAUCAAAACGAAACAGCCCUGACAUAUGCCUCAACAUUCACCUCCAUCAUUAUAAAACAGAUCUGCAACUAUCUCACUGCAACUCCCCAAUCCAACAAAAUUACAUAAAAUGAAAGAUCCCAAAACCUUGGAGAGAGAGAAGCCAUAAGAAUGCCCAAUUCUUUCCCAAGAAUUCUCUUGUAAAUCCCCACUCUAAUUUUCAAAGGUUGCAAACUUGAAAUUAACAUAGAAGGUAACUGGCUUCAGAGUCAACUAGGAUAAUACUGGGCAUAUAUGCAGAGAGUAGGCAUAGUAGCAACUUUCAGGGUAUGGAAUAAUACAAAAGGAAAGGGAAGACCACAGAAUUCUCUCAGUCAUCUUAACUUGAUUUGGUACUAAGAAUAAGUUAUGUAUACACUUCCCACUGGCCCAUCUGUACGUUAAUAUAGAAAUAGAUUAUAUCCUGGCAACAAGGAAGUGAAAUACUCCUAUUUUUAUAUCAAUAUUGGGCACAAAUUAAGAGUUCAUCAAUAUAAUUUUACCUCAAUUGUAACCAACUGUGCAUAUAAGUUUACCUGAAUUGUUUGUCUGUGCUGCUUGUAUAUAUUGAUCUGUACAGUUGCUUUCUUCAACAAAGGGUCACUACUUUUCUGUACAUCAUAAUCUAUAUGUUCCUGCAAACAUAGUUUACAACUGUAAGCUCAAUAACUAGUGCACUGUUCGAAGUACAUGAUUGAAAAAUGAAGAAAACGGAGUGACCUUAUAACAAUUAAUGAAAGAUAAAAUGUAGUUCACAGAAUAAAACAUUCAAACACCACCAUCUUGAUAGUUAAACAAUUUCACUGUAAAAGCUAUUAAACUUAGCAGGAAAAAAAAUUUAAACUUUAUCUAACAUUUGAAUCUACAAUUUUCAAUUAGCAACUCUUGUCACAAAUGUUUAUUAGUGGGGUACGUUCUAAGAUAUUGUUAUUUGCUAAUUGUCGAGGAUUAUUUGGGAGUUAAAUCUCACAAGAAGGCGUAAAGAUCACAUUAGAAUUAGAUAUUUUACUAGGAAGCUAAAGAUCACAUUAGAACCACCCGCAGGAAUACAAAAAAACGACAUACCUUAUAGUCCAGUUGAUCAAAACCCUUGCAAACAAAUUCGAACAAGGUUCUUAAGUUCUCAGGGCUGGGUGCAGUUACAAAUAUAUUUGAAUACCUGUGAAGAUAUAUUUGUAUCGUCAAAACAUAGUACAUGAAUAUGAGUGUAGACAGCUACACAUACACCAAAACAGUUUUAAUACAUUGUAAAAGGCAUACUACCCUGCAGCAAUAGCUCCGGAAAUUGCCAAACCAAGUGCAGCCGAUUUUCCACGGCCUCGAGCAGCAAGCAAGGCAACAGUACUUCGGAGUGUCUUGUCCAAGAUUGCAUCAAGAAAUGUAGCAACAGCAUUUCCCUGUUGAAACAUUUACCAACUCAAACUAUGAGUCAUAUUAGUAAAUCACACAUGAUAGAAAAACUCAAAACUAAUACAAAUCAGAGAGAGUGCCUACCUGGUCCAACGUACAACAUUUCUUUAUUAAAGGGCCAACAGGAAAGGCAUCACUCAGCUGCUCUUUUAGAUCCUUCAGUUCCCUUUGUGACUCUGAUAUCCCUUCAGAGUCCUUCAAUCAUGAUCAGAAAACAAGAAAAAAGUUAUCAAAGUUAUCAAAGCUUCACAAACUCCUAGAAAGUAUCCUAAUAACCAUUCGGUAUACACACACUUGAAAAAUUACUUUUAUUCUUUUUGUCAUCUCGCAUAAGAUGCCACGAAAAUAAAGCAUUCCUCGAUUUAUCAGUUCCGUCCUAUAGAAAAGUUACAAGGCUAAAAGGUUACCUCUUUCACUGGAACUGGGGUAAUUGACCUCAUAUGAGAUGAAAUUGGUAAAAUAUUCAGCUCAUCAUCCAUUACUACACAUGAUUUGCAUGACGCAAGUGACAAUAAGAAACGCUCGUUAAAACGUCCAGUAGCCUUAGAAUGGGAUUCAGUUCGAAACCUAUCAUGAACAUCCUGAAAUCAAGAGGCGCUGAUAAGACUGUAUGGAGAUUUUUGCAUUUGAGAGAACGAGAAAGACAGUGUUGCAAAUAAAACAUGACAUAACGGAAUUGUUAUCAAAUAUAAUAUGUGGUGCAUGGCUAUUGCUAUAUUCGUUCUAAGUCCAUAAUGUAGUAAAACUAGAAACUACCUCAACAAGAAGAACAAAUAUUAUGAGGAAACCUAGUUGUUUUUUCUUCUUCUUUUUGGGGCUAGAACAUGAAAAGAAACAACUAGUCUACAUAGGCCCAACUGGGAAACUUAUAUGUUCAGCAGCAUUCUCUUAAAGAAAGUCAAGCAAUUGAAUCUACCAAAAGUCUUCUUGUAGCCAAGCACAUCAUUACGAAAAAAUUCGGAAACUUUUAACAUGGCUAGUUUUCAAGAUUUUGCGGUAUAUAAUAAGCAUAACCAUGCUGGCCUAAAAACUAAGCAUUAAUUGUGUGCAUGCGUAAGAGAAAGAGGUAUUAUUAUAUGCAUACCAUAACCAUGGUGUAGAGGUUGGUGAGUGAGGUUAGAGAAUGAAGCAACAAUAUGACUAGUCCACCUCCCUCCACUGUCUCUAUCGUUCUUGCUAGUAGAUUUGGAGUCAAGGCCUCAAAAUCCUAAUGCAGGAGAUCAAACUUAGUCAUAAAACUUAAAUCAAUUAUACAAGGGGUCUUGGCCAAACCAGUAAAUUUGUAAGUUUCAAGUUACCUGAAGUAUACACAUUCCAAAGGUAUUACCAAGAACUCUUUCUGAAUCCUUGUACAAGCAAUAAGUCAAUCCCCCACUUUCAACAAAAAGUGAGAAAGGAUCAACCUUCUCGGGAUCAAGCAGCCCCCUCUGCAUCAUCUUUUUUACUUGCUUAGCACGUUUUUUCUUGUGACUGCAUCAUGAAGUAGUCAAACGCAACGAAUCAAUAUAUUUUAAAAACGAAAUUCCGCCUUGCCUUAUAAUAAGGUGAAGAAUGGAAGGUAGAAGAAAUCAACCUGCUGAGCUCGAGCUUGUCCUUGUAGCACCACAACACAGUCGGGCGCGAUUUCUUUACUUCAUUGCUUAGCAUAUAAUGAAGAUUCACAAUCUGAAGACCAUAUAAAACUCCAUAUUAGCCAUUUUCCGUUAGUUUUCGAUAGAUUUUCGAUGAUAUUUCUUACCUUGUUUGAGGUUUUUAGUGUUACUCGGUGAGUAUUGCAGGUGAAAACAAGAAACAGUAAAACUGGUAAAAUUUUCUACCCAAUUCAAUUUAAAUCAUUGUUAUAACUCCUCAAAUUGAAUAGGAAUAGCAAAUAGGGAAUGGGAUAGGAAAGGCAGAAGAAAUUAGGAGUACCUGGUCACGGGAUUUGUCGCCGACGAUGACGAACAUGGAGCGGUGCCGGUUUUUGACGCCAUUGCUUAUUAGGGUUCGGAUUCGUUCGUCCACCUUCUUCCUCAUUCUCUCUCUCUCUUCUCUCUCUGUGCAAUUAGGUUUAGGGUUUAUACCAUAGGGCAGUUGUCGUCGUCGGGCAGGGUUUAAGCCGAACUAGUGAGAGAGAGACUAGACAUCGCGGAGAGAUAUUGAGUUCAUCUCAACCGUUGAUUGGCUAUCUGAUGGCUGUUAUCAAAGCUGACAUAAAAAUGAAAACUCAACACGUGGCCAAGUAUUUUUUUUCUCUCUUUUUUGGCUUAUUUAUUGAUUUGCCCCAGAAAUUAUUUUUUUUGUCUUACUCUAGGUCAUGAAACAGAAUUUAUCUUACUUUAUCUUCUAAAACUACCAAAAUCGAGUCAUUUCACCCAUGUUUUGUCAAUUCUAUCUCAUAAACGUUAAAUAAAAGGGAGUCUAAACAUUUCAUACCAUGCUAGCAAAGAUGAGCCACUGUUGUUGGUGAGGUACGAAAUUUUCAAACUUUCCUAAACCUUUAAAACUUAAAAGGUAUCUUGAAUAUGAACGUAAAUGAGGUAAAGUUGCUCAAUUUUGGCAAUUUAUGAAGGGUAAAAUGAGACAAAUUCAAUUUAAGGCUAAAGUGAGAGUAAAUGGCAGUUUCAUGAGAUAUAUCAAUAAAUAAAUCUUUUCUAGAAUACAACUAAAUUAUGUACUCACGGUAAAAGAUAAAUUAAUAUCGAACUUGUCAUUGACGAUAUCUAAACAUAAAACCUUUCAAGUUUUUACCUAUAAGAAUAAAUUUGGUAUAGUAAUUUCUUUUCUAAUUUAAAGUUUCCCAUAGAGUUAUGACGAAUUUGAUACCAAAUUAGGCUGUCAUUGUGUGGCAUAGCCGAAUUCCUCCUCCCUUACUUUAAAAAUAACGAUGUACUCAAAAAAAGUUUCCCAUAGAGUUAAAAUGAUCUUUAGUUGCUUGCUGAGACAACCCAUAUGUAUAAUAAGACAUUGAAAAAGGUGCCUCUGUCAUUUACACUCACACGAUCGAAUAAGUAGCUCCGACAGUUGCAUCAUAAAAUUAAGGGGUUUUCCGAGAUUGUAGUAAGGUUGACGAUUAAAGUUUGGGAAAUUUUCAGGUUAAGGAAUCAAGGGAUCACAUUUUCAAGUUUCGUAGGCAUUCUCUUUCCUUUGGAAUGGUGUUGGAAUCCGUCCUGAAGUUGCCCAUUCCUUUGCUCUUGAUUUUCAGAGUUGGAUAGCUAUAAACCUUAGGACACAUUGUACCACCAUACAUGGUUUACCUUGGAACCUUAUCUUUAAUUCAACUCUCUGGCAUUGCUGGAAAUGGAGGAAUAACUUUGUCUUCAAUGAUGGCCAACAACCGCUUGACUCACCCCAGAAUUUCAUUUUUCAAUUUGCAAGGGAAUGGUGUGAUGCGAACAAGUGUUCUUCUAGUAAGCCUCCUAGACAAAAUCAUCUCAAUCCAUUGGAUUCGUUUGCCAAUUGGUAUACAAAAUCAAUACAGAUGGGAGUUGUAAAGACCCAUUUAGCCACAUAAGUGCUGGAGGUUUGCUUCGUAAUUCUGAAGGGAAAUGGAUUAAGGGAUUUGCUGCUAAUUUGGGCAGAGGAACCAUCAUGGAAGGUGAGCUUUAAGGGUGGUUUCAUGGGACUUUCUAUAGGUUGGGAUGAGAGUUGCAAGGAAGUGAUUAUUGAAUGUGAUUCUUAUGCUGCUGUUACUUUGAUCCAACAACCUAUUUUAGUUCCCACUCUACAAUCUCAUUAUUGACUGCAAAGAAGCCAUUGAAAGAAAUUGAAGAUGUGAAGUUACUCAUAUCUAUAGAGAAAAUAAUGUCUUAGCUAAUCACACGUCUGACUUAGGUCAUGGGUUAUCACUUGGUCUUCAUGUUUUUGCUUCUCCUUCUACCAUUGCUACUAAUUUUAUAGUUUCUAAUACUAUUGGCAGGGCCCUCCCUAGAGCUGUUUUUUAGUAGCUUUUUUGUUUUGCUUGUUGGGCUUUGCCCUCUUCUGUACCCAAAAAAAAAAAAAAAAAAAAAAAUAUUGGGAAAUUUAUUUGGACCCAACUUUUUUAUCUCUACACCCAAAUAAUAUUUUCUCUUAUCUAAUCUUCCAAAUUUGUCCUUAAAUAACAAACAUUGAAGUUUUCUUUGUAUCUCUACACCCAAACCCCACGAUCCACCACUGUAGGGCGCUCCAUUAUUUCCGACAAACCCAACUCAAACGCCAGCAACACUAAAAUCGACAAAUCAAGACUGGAGAACAAAUGGUGUAGGAGUCCUAAUGUGAAUAUUAAAGCAAACUUAAGUUGCAAAACCCUUUUUUAUUUCAAUCGAUGAAAGGACCUUGGGUUAUGAACAUAAGGAACCUAUUAGGGUUUAGAGGUCCCCUCCACAUCAUAUGCAUAAGCCCUUUUUCUUCAUUCAUUAAUUUACGGAAGGGAAAAUUAAUACUAUUAUUCUCAUAAAAAGUGGGAAUACCAAGGAAAGAGAUCCUCUCCACACCAUAUAUUUUUCUUUUCUGAGUAGUUAUAUCCAAUGGAGAGAGGAAAACAAGAGCACCAAUGGUCGCAGGUUCACCGGAGAAAAUGAAGGUGCAGUGGUGAUGUGAGUUUAGGGUUAUUGGGUGUAAAGAUAACAACUUUAAUAUUUAUUUUCUCAUUUUUAUUUAUUUAAGGGCAAAUUUGAAAGUUUAGUAGAGAAAAUUUGUUAGUUGGGUGUAGAGAUAAAAAGGUUGGGUCCAACAAAAUUUCUCAUAAAGUUUAAUCACGCGAUUAAGUUCUUGUGCAAUGAGUAAAUUGUAGCAAUGACCCAUCAACUAAAAAUCCAUUAUUAUUGAUCCCUCAACUCAUCAAAAUAUGUAGUUAUGGUCAUUUUCGUCAACUUUGUAAGAAUUUUGUCAAAAUAAAUUAUGUUGGAAGGACCAUUGUUACAAUUAAGGUCCUUCAACUCAUCAAAACAUGUAGCUAUGGUCAUUUUCGUCAACUUUGUCAAAAUGAGUUAUGUUGGCAUGACCAUUAUUGCAAUUGGGUUAAAGUUGAGGAAUCAUUGCUCCAAUUGGGUUAAAGUUGAGGGAUCAUUUCUCUAGUUAGAUUAAAGUUGGGGGACCAAUGAUAAUUAAGUUUUAGUUAAGGGAUCAUAGUUGCACGUUUUGAUGAGUUGAGAGAUCAAUGAUAAUGAAUUUUUAGUUAAUGGAUCAUUACUCCAAUUGAGUUAAAAAUAAAGGACCAUUGCUACAAUUUACUCUUGUGCAAUAGAAGAUUAAUUUGGCCGAACAACCUGAUUAAGGUGCCUACUUUCUCUUUAAUUCAUUGGUAUCAUUUAUUUUCCCUUAAGCUGAAUUAUGCUCAAUUUAUGUAUCAAUAUUGUAAAGUUGUCUUUGUUAGAGUAAUUUGGACAAUAUAAAUUGAAAAUUAUUUGUGUAUAUGGAAAAGAUUAACCUCAGGGGUCACUUCGCCGGACUCCGUAGCAAUCUCCACCACUCCAAUCGUAAUGGUGAGUAAAUCACUUGUGUUUGUUUCCAUUUUUUCAAUUGGAAAUUGGGGGUUUUGAAUUCAUAUUUUGUCAAUUGGUUUUGUGAGCACUGAGAAUACACUACGAGCUUGUGUGUGUGUACAAUAUGUUGGAUUUGAUCUUUAUAAAGAAUGCGAGAAAUUGGGGUUAGGAAAGAGAAGAAAAGGAAACAGAACUCGAACUUCGAUCUUCAUUCUUGUUACUAAAGGAGAAAACCGAAUUUGAACCGGUUCAUACGUAAUCGAACCGAAUUUGUAUAGUUCGGUUCACCCCUUAGUACCGAACCGUACCAUACCAAAAAAAAUUUCUUGAGUUUGGUUUUGAUACAUCCCUCAUACUGUACCAUACCAAAUCGUGGCCAGACCUACUGAAUACAAAACUUAUAUCUGGGUCGUAAGUCGUAAGGCCUCCAAAAAAAAAGUUCAUAUUAUUCAUACCAAUCGGACAAAUCCCGCACCCAAAAACAAUGGCUAGAUAGAAAGUUCAAUUAUAGAUUAGGUAAUCUAUCCUUUUCAACUUAAAUGCACAUUCAUGAUGGUUAUGCAAAUCAUAUUAUGUUAACAAAUGCAACAAUUAAUUAUAUUUAUCCAUUUGGAAUGAUAUAUAUUUUCAAAGAUGGAAUUACAGACCCCGUUGACGUUGAGGCCAUUGCAUGAGAGAAUUUUAGAUGAUUUUCAAUUAAUUUAUAUUAUUGUUGUGAUAACCAUAAUAAUUAUUUUCUAAAUGUAAAACUAUAUUAAUGAAAUUUUCUUUGUCGGUCAAAAGAAGAUGAAAAGAUAUCUUUAUCUUCUAUCACAACAAAAAAAUUAAGGAUAUUAAUGUAAUAGGCUAAUAGCGAUGGGGUGAAGAAAUGGAACUAUCCUAAAUAGGCAGUUGCUGGUUAUAUUGGAUCAGGUGGUCUGAAUGAUUGGAUAAUUAGCAAAUAAAAAGGUUCCAUUUUUCAUGGACCCUCAAGUGGAAAUAUGGGAUAAAAGAUGGCAUAUACCAUUUUAUCCAUUUGUGAUUGUACAUUUUGAUGGUUGUGAUUUCACCCGAUGGCGCGGCAAGUGUGGAUUGGGAUAAGGAUGGUUUUGGUCUAUCAUCAAAGAUGGUUUGAUGUUCACGACUGGAUUUUACAACGCAUCCAAGUGCAUGGGUUCUAUAAAUACAGAGUUGCGCACAAUAAAAAAGUACAAAGGACCUUCAAACCUUUCACACACUCUGAGAAACUCCUGAUUCUCCCAACUUCGUCAACACAUCUUCAAUUUGGAUUAACAUCACUGUUUGUCAGUGAGGAGUCCUUAGUCUUCUCGUCUCAUUAGCCCUCUAGGUGAAGUGAGGUGUUACUGAAUUACUUGAGUAUUCAGCACAUUGAAAGUCGAACCUUAUUUGAACUUCACAGUAGUUAGCAAUCUUAUCUUCAGGUUUUAGAACCCAAUGCCAAGACAUAUUCCUUCCUCGACAGUGAUGGUUUGUACACAAAAGUUGGUUUGUACACAUAAGUCAGUAUUGUGUUUGACACACCAUCCCAUUCAUUCUACUAGCCCACAAACGCGUGGACUCGUCCAAAAUUACCCCACUCUCGGCCCGUUCACUUGCCCACUCGUCCCACGCGGCCCGUGAGUCUUCAGUGCCUGAUAGGGGGGCCUACUGUUAGGGCCGUUGUUGGCCACAACCCAGAGCCCAACGAUUUUUUUUUGCAUCCCACGACUGGCAUUUUUGGACCGUUGGUUGAUCCAACGGUCCAGAUUCAAAUUUUGUUUUUUUAAAUGUUAUUUUAAAAUACAUUGAAUCCAACGGCUGAGAUCGAAUAUAAUCAAAUCUAACGGUAAAAUAAAAAAAGAUAAAAAAAGAUAUAACAGUCCAAAUUUAAAUCCAACAGCUAAAAUAAUUUUAAAAAAAAUUAUUUAACUCAAAAUUCACCCAAAAACUCUAUAAAUACCUUUGUAUUUGUUCAAACAUCCACACAAAACUCAAUUUUCUCCCACAAUUCUUCCAUUUUUUCUUUCUACCAUUUCUUUCCAUUUCCAAAUUGUUCAACACGAUCCUUGAAUUGGCCAUCCCAAGCAGUAAGACAAUUCUUCCACUCCCAAAGCAUACAAUCGAGACUUCCUAUCAUGUCAGGAAAGCCUAUUUUGUCUGCUUUGAGUAGAAUGUGACGACAUGUCCCGAAUUAUUAUAUAUUUUUCUCCCUAAGUGUGUAAAGUGACGGUAAUGCCCUCGUGAUUUAGUGACGUGGAUGUACAUAUGUAGUUUUAAAUUAUUAUUUCUAUUGUCGUAGUUAAAUUGUACUCGACGCCAUGAGUGUGUUGAUGUGACCUAGGGCUAAAACAAAUUCGUAACGAAGAAGUUACGAACAGACGAGUGUGUAAAUGCGUAGAAAUAUAUUUUUAUGGGUUGGCUAUACCUUACCCACCAAUCACCUUAAUUCCUGAUUUCUUUGGCCUAAUUGAAUUAAAAAUAUCUCUCAUUUUUCCUUCUGCCCAAUCACGCACAUACACACCAUCACUCUCUCUCUUCUCUCGGACCUUCUUCUUCUUUCUUCUCAUUCCGUACACCCGAGCCACCCUUACCUCACAAUCAUCAUCAAAACAUUAUGGAUCGAAUUGGAAAUCACUACCAUCGCAGUCACCUCGAUCCCACGAACUCAUUGAUACCCUUAGGUCGAGGAAUAGACGUCGGGAAUUCGAGAACUCGGGAGCUCUGGCGAGGUGUAUUUUUCUACUUUGUGAUCGUGGUCUUUUUCUAUGGUUUAAAGGCUUGAGGUGGGUCCUAAUCAACUUUAUAGGGACCCUAGAUUAGUUUUGGAGCAGUUUGAACGUUGGAAUAGGUGAGAACAUGGAGUUGCAGGUUGGCCGGUUGAUCCAAGCCUUACUCCGACCACUUUCUGUCGGUUUUAGAACCUCAAGUAGGUAAGAUUGUAUUCUUCUAGUUGAGAGUUUCAAAUCCAUAUAAAAUUCAUGGAAUUUGGUUGAAAAAUGAUGAAGAUAUUAAAGUUUUAAGAUUUUUCCAAAAAUCAGCGACACAAACGGCGCCCGACGGCCAGCGAUGGAUUCCGACAAAGCCAUCGGAGAAGGAGGAGAAUAUUAUGUCUAACUUUGACAGAAUAUACUAACAGCGUCAGGUAACUCUAUUAGUUUUUAAACAAAAUAUUCUACUAUUUAAUGAAAUAUUCCCUAACGCCGUUAGGGAUUCCGUGCCUGCACGUGCCGGCUUAUGAGGGCGCGUGAGACGUCAGGAAAUUAAUCUAAAAAUAUUGGGGUGUUCGAGUUGUUGAGUAGGUCAUGUUGGUAUAUUCAAACACCCUAUUUGAGCAACGUAUGAGAAGUUAUUCCUAGGGUUUGUGUAUGUGCCUUAAAAUUAAUGUAAAAUUAGUUAUUUCGCAUAUAGGUGAGACUUACCCGGAGGACAAACGUGGUCAAACGAGACUUGGGGGCUACGAUCCUACUACUUACCAGUGAGCGGGCUUUUUUUUUCUAUAUAUAUGUAAAUAUGCUUAUGAAUCCCAUAAACUACUUUAAAUGAACGUAUGUUUUAAAUGCCAUGUCGUGUGCAUUAUGUGUUAGUAUUGCAUUAGUAUAGCUAUGCAUAGUAUUGGAUGAGACUGCGCAGACUCAGGUAAGUUUCAGGUGAGUACAUCAUGAUGGUAUUGGGUGCGUGUGUGUGGUUAUACGUUGAUGCAUUUUGAGCUUAUUAUCCUGCACAUUGGUGUUAGUGUUCUCGCCCAUGGCCAGGGCAUAGUUUUUCACAUGAUGUUCACCUCCUGGGCCGCACGCUCACUUUGGAUCCAAGUUUGGUGCACAGCCAUAUUGCACAGACCACAAUAGGUGGUUCCGACUCGUAGGUGACCUGCAAUUAUUUGCACAGCCUUCACGUGAUCGUAGCACUUAAGCGUACUUAUCUACACCCAGCCCUGUUGUACAGACCACAAUAGGUGGUUCCGACUUAUGUGCAUGCAUACUUGAUGAGCUAUAGAUUCAAUUGUACAGGUUACAUUAGGUGACUCCGGUUGGCAUACUAUUUUAGGUUGAUUCGUAUCACCUGGCUUACACAUUUUAUGGUUGAACAUCUUGACAUGGCAUACCUCUGUUUUCACUGCUCUAAGCAUUAUCCUUAUGUACCUAGUUGUUAUUAUUUUCUGGAAAAUUAUAUGGGUUUACAGUGAGGGGUUAGUAUGUUCAUAAAGACAACUGUGUUUUCAAAAACUUUGUUUUUGCCUACUCACAUUUUUUGUUUUGCACCCUUUCAGGUUCUAGGUAGUUGGUCAUCCUUGGUGGCUCACGAGGACUUUCACGGCGGUUCUGACAUCUCUGUAAAUAAGUAGGGAUUUUUUUCCCUGUUUGUAUAAUUAGUACUUAGUUGGUUCGAUUGCACUUUCGUUUACCCAUGCUCUGAUAUUUGUAUAACUUGCUUGGUCAUCUUUACUCACUUAUAUUAUCUUAGUUUAGAUAAGUUUGGUUUUAGGUUUUUAUUUAUUCGCAUUUCUUUUAUUAUUACUUCUGUUGCGCAUUUUGGCUACGUUACUCUUACGUGACGGGCAUCAUGUUUCGACUUCGGUUGGGGUGUGUCAUAAAAGCCUCUUCAAGUCUUCAUGAUUUGGCUUGCAGAGAUAUGUGGCUCCAUAUGUGGCCUGAAUUGCCCCACAGAAGCGCUCCAGGUUUUUAAUAGCAGUAGUCUCCGCAAGUCGGCAAUACUCAUCAGUUGAGUUUGCAGAGCACUCAUUAGCUAGCAUCCGAAAUGCAGAUGUGAGCUUCUGAUGAGGUGAUAGACUUUGUCGGCCUACGACAUUUAUCUUCCUUGCAAAGUAGUGGUCAUGAUUGACAACUGUGUUCAAGAUGCUUUCAAAAAUCUCUCUCCUCAUUCGAAACCGUCUCCGAAAAUCAUGAGCAGGAAAUCUCGGACGCUCAAUAAAAUAAUAUUUCAUCAUUCGGUCAUGACACUCUUCUCUAUCACGUUGCACAAAUGAACGCUUCGUGACAUAACCACAAUAGCUAGAUUCGACAUGGUGCUCAUAUUGCAUAAGCGAGUUUGGAAGUUUAGCUUAUGCGUUGAUCAUUUUUGAAUCCUCAAUGUCAAGGCUUGCUUGGUAUUAUGUCAUUUGCAUUGCCCUGCUACACCUUCUUCUAUCAUCCAUUGUUGAUAUAUUGAGGAUUUUUAUGAAACAAAAACACUUUGAAAGUUGAAAGAUUAGUGAAUAUAGGGAAUGAUUGAAGGUUGAAAGAUUGUGUGACCAACUGAUAUUGAACAUGUGUUUAUAUAGAGGAUGAUUGAUGAAAGUUGAAAGUUUGGUGAAAGUUGAACGGUUGGUGAAAGUUGAAGAUUUGUGAAAGUUAAAGACUUGCUUUGUGGAAAGAUUUAGUGAUUUUUUCAAUAUUUAUUGGAAUUUAAAUAUUUUUAUAUUAAAAUGUUCAUAAAAUUAAUUUACCAUAGGCUACAUAAUUUUUUUUAAAAGUUAAUUUAAGAAAAAAAAUUAGCCUAAGUUCAUUCUUUAAUAAUCCCGAACUAAAAUUUUAGGCUAGGGUUGGAGCAGAAAAACUGUUUCUGUGUUAAAAGCUAAAUUUUUUAGAUUAAAAAUUUUAAAUUUUAACCCAAAGGUUGGAGAUGAUUUAAGAAUGGAUAAACUUAACCAAGAAAAGAAGAAAAAAGAUGAAGGGCAAAUAAGUGAGAAGCAACAUGACACGACACACGGACGACCAUAGCAAUAAAGCGUGCGUCCUCACGUCCAUUGAAUAUAUAGAUGGGAGCUACAACAUCGUGUUUCACGUGCAUGUGUAUUAUACAUAAAGGCAUAUACAGUGUUAGCUUAUAUAUUAUAAAGUUUGUAGGCCACUUACCCAAUUUGGCAUAUGUUUUAUCUUUUUACGUGAAUAACCAAUGUGUUAUGAUGAUACAAGUCUCUUAACAUAUCCGGAGUUAGAAAUAUCAUAAGACAGUGUUGCGAUCAUAUUGAAAUUAAUUGACAGUUUGUAUUAUAUAUUUGAUUAUUCUUUAUUAACUUAAGGAGACAGCAUACUUAGACCUAAUUUAGUCACAUUCUCCAACCGAAAAUAAAGCGGUGUAGUAUUCAUACACUUUUUUUUAUUUCUUACACAGUCUUAAUUAAUUUCUAUUGUUUGAUCUUCUUCAAUUCAUUCGAUCUGACGACCGAAAAUUAAGAUGGUGUGUGGACGAGUAAAUUAUAACAAUGGUCCCUCAACUUUAAUCAAAUUGGAGCAAGGGUGCUCAACUAAAAAUCCAUUACCAUUGGUUCCUCAACUCAUCAAAAUGUGUAGCUAUGGUCAUUUUCGUCAACUUCGUUACAAUUUUGUCAAAAUAAGUUAUAUUGGAAUGACUAUUGCUACAAUUGGGGUCCCUCAACUCAUCAAAACGUGUAGCUAUGGUCAUUUUCAUCAAUUUCGUUAGAAUUUUAUCAAAAUGAGUUUUGUUGGAAUGACCAUUGCUACAAUUGAAUUAAAGUUGAGGGACUAUUAUUUCAAUUGAGUUAAAGUUGAAAGAUCAUUUCUUCAGUUGUAUUAAAGUUGAAGGAUCAAUGGUAAUGAAUUUUUAGUUGAGGGGACUAUAGCUGCACGUUUUAAUGAGUUGAGAGAACAAUAAUAAUGAAUUUUUAGUUGAAAAACUAUUACUUCAAUUGAGUUAAAAUUAAGAAACAAUUGCUACAAUUUUUUUAUAUGGAAAGUGGAUGAUGUGAAUAGCACAUCCAAAAAUAAAAGGGAACUUUAACGAAAAGCACCCGGUACUGUUCACUUUAACGAAAAACCACAUUUUUACACUAAAAAGUCAAUCCUGGUACUAUUCACUUUACCCUUUAUUUUGUCCUUAUCAUUAAAACUCAAAGUUUUCAAGCCCUUUUCAUUAGUUUUCCUAAAAUAAAAUGCACCACAAUUUGGUAGGAUCUUCCUGUUGAGAGUAAUAAAUUAAUAAUUGCCGAAAUAUUGGAUAAUUUGUCGGCCACAACGCUAUGAGGGAGUAUCUGGGGAUGAAUAUACUCUUGCCGACAGAUGCCCAAAUUCCAACUGCCAUUCAAAUGAGCCCUCCACCACCACCGGCCAUAAUAAAUUCUCUUUCUUUAGUGAAGAAGAAAAAGAGGUACUUGGCCCUCACCUCAACUUUUUGAGAAAGAACAAGUUUAUCGCUAUCAGAAUGUUUCGGUCAAUUAUAUAAGUUAUGUGUAAAUUUUUCUUUAGAUAACAUUACAUUAUUAUAUUUAAAAUGUUCCGUAACGAUAAAUUUGUUUCAUACAAAUUAUUCUCCAACUUCUUGGAUUUUUCUCCUUUUUCCCGAAAACCAGCUUAUAUUAGUGUUCAUCCUCUGUCAAUAUCACUCGCCCACAACUAUUCAACUAACUUUUAAUAAUUUGACAACGUGUCAUAUUUUUGUGCAAAGCGGGCCCAUUUUUGUGGGUGAUAUAAUAAUGGCGUAUGUGGUUUGUCAAGACAUAUACUCAUUUAUCCAUUAGCAGUUAGGUAAGUCACCUCACUCACCCACAGCCUAACACAUCAACAAAUAUUGCUUACAAAUUCUAGAAAAUUCGACCAAGAAAAAAAACCAAAUGCUCGCAAAUUAAAAUUGUGUAACAUGAUUAGUUUUUUAUCCAUUAGUAUUAAUUUUACGUUGGAAGAAAUUCCAAAUUUAUUCUUGUAAAGAGGGAUAUGAAAAUACUUUGUAUGUCUAUCACCAAAAUCUUCGAAUGUUUGAAUGGUUGAUUUUCAAGUCUCACACAAUUGGAUUUAGUUCAAGUGAGAAAGAAAUACACUCAAACUAUUAGAUAUGAGGAAUGAAAAUACACUACAAAAUCUUGUGAACAUUUCUAAUAUUCUCUUCUAUCUACUUUUUGUGAACCAAGUUUUUAUUUGUUUUUUUUUUUAACAAAAGAUAUUUUUUAUACUAGGGAAAUAAGGUGGGUUUAGCCUCAUAAUGGGCUAACAUAAUCUAGUUCAAACUUGCAUUUGGUGAGAAUCGAACCUAAAAUCUCUCACUUACAAGUGAAGAGGAAUACCAUUAGAAGUGUCAUGAAAUUAGCAGUCUUAUAUGUAAAAAAUUGAUUGACUAAAUGCUGUGUUAAAAAACAAGAUUAAUACUUGCAUCUCCCCACUUGGAAAAUGCAAAUAUUUCAUUUCUUGCAAAUAACGUAUAUCAUGCGUUCUGUUCAAUCGCAUAUUCAAAAAUGUUAAAAACAAGAUUAAUAUUUCUAUCUCCCCACUUGGAAAAUGCAGUAUUUCAUUUUUUACGAAUAACGUAUAUCCUGUGUUCCGUCCAAUCGCGUAUUAAAAAAAUGUGUGAAGUUUGGAUUAACUACACUCUUUGAGAAUUUCCUUAAAUAACCACUUUUUGAAAAUUUCUUAUAGGACUAAGUGAGUCUCCGCUGAGAAUUUCCUUAACUAACACAACACUACUUGAGUGAUAAUUUGUUAUAUCUUGAAUAGAGAAUAAAUCAGUUCCCUACUUUUGAAGGUACUAUUAACUUACACUAUAUUUGAAUGAGAACAAUAAACUUAGAAUUUAGAUGAAGGAAAUAAAACAGUUUCCUACUUUUGAAGGUACUACUCGAGUGAUAAUUUGUUAUAUCUUGAUAACGUGUCAUAUUUUUUUGCUAAGCGGACCCAUUUUUGUGGGGUGGUAUAAUAAUGGCGUUUGUUGUUUGUCAAGGGCAUAUACCCAUUUAUCCAUUAGCAGUUAGGUCACCUCACUCACCCACAACCUAGUACAUCAACAAAUAUUGCUUACAAAUUCUAGAAAAUUCAACCAAGAGAAAGAAAACCAAAUGCUCGCAAAUUAAUCUGUGUAACAUUAGUUUUUAUCCAUUAGUAUUUAUUUUACAUUGGAAGAAAUUCCAAAUUUAAUCUCGUAAAGAGGGAUAUGAAAAUACUUUGUAUAUCUAUUAUCAAAAUCUUUGAAUGUUUGAAUGAUUGAUCAUCAAGUCUCACACGAUUGAAUUUAGUUCAAGUGAGGAAGAAAUACACACAAACUAUUAUAUAUGAGGAUUGAAAAAUACACUACAAAAUCUUGUGAUAACAUUUCUAAUAUUCCUUUCUAUCUACAUUUUGUGAUAAGUUUUUUUUUUCCUUUUUUGAACAAACUAUAUUUAUCUACAUUAAGGGAGAGGAGGUGAUCUUAGCCUCACAAUGGGCUAGCAUAAUGUGGUUCAAAUUCGCCUUUGGCGAUAAUCGAACCUAAAACUUAUCAUUUACAAGUAAAUAGGAAUACCACUAGAUGGAUCAUGAAAUUAGCAGUCUUAUAGGUAAAAAAAAAUUGAUCGACUAAAUGAUGUGUUAAAAAACAAGAUUAAUACUUGCAUCUCUCCACUUGAAAAAUGUAGAUAUUUCUGUGAACACGGAAAAUUCCUGAAACGAAAGAGACAAGAACAACGUGCACAAAAUAAUAUUUUGGUGUUAAUGGAUUUGUUGGGUUACGAUCUCUUUUAACUUGAUCCUCUGAUUCGAUCUCCGUAAGGUGUUGAUUUAUGGAUGUUUCGUUGAUCCAAGGGCUGUUGAGGCUUGAUCUUAGAUGAACUGUUGGAAGUUUCUUCAAGGGGCCGUGGGCUUGAUCUUUGAAGGUGGAUUUGAGCGGAUCUUCAAGGAGCCGUUGGGGCUUGAUCUUGAGGAUGAGUGUUUCUUCAAGGGCCGUUAAGGCUUGAUCUUGAAUAACGGUGAUGAACGGAUCUUCAAGGGCUUUUGGGCUUGAUCUUGAAGAACGGUUGGAUGUGUGGAUUUGUUGAUGUUGUUGAUCCAAGGGCCGUCGGAGCUUGAUCUUGGAAGAACGAUGAACGAAGAACGAAGAACACUUUCUUCAAAGGCCGUCGGGGCUUGAUCUUGAAUUGGUGAUUGUUGAUCCAAGGGCCGUCGGGGCUUGAUCUUGGAAGAACGAUGAACGAAGAACGAAGAACACUUUCUUCAAGGGCUGUCGGGGCUUGAUCUUGAAUUGGUGAUUGUUAAUCCAAGGGCCGUCGGGGCUUGAUCUUGAUUCUUCGGGAUGAACGGAUGAUGAACAAUGAACACUUUCUUCAAGGGCCGUCGGGGCUUGAUCUUGAAUUGGUGGAAGUUCUUCAAGGGCCUUUGGGGCUUGAUCUUGAAGGUGGAUGAUUGUUGAUCCAAGGGCCGUCGGGGCUUGAUCUUGGGAUGAACAGUUGUGUGGAUUUGUUGAACACUUUCUUCAAGGGCCGUCGAUGCUUGAUCUUGAAUUGGUGGAAGUUCUUCAAGGGCCGUUGGGGCUUGAUCUUGAAGGAGGAUUUGACGAAGAACGAAGAGGGCUUUCUUGAUCCUUCGGGAUUUGCUUGAAUUUGGGAGGUUGGAUGCUUGAAAGCUUUAGAGUUUCAAAGCUUCAAGGAUUUUGGAUGUGUGGGGAGUAUUCUCUUCCAUUUUGGGAGUAGAGAAAUGUAUUUGUGAAUUGGUUUUUGAUACCUUGAUGUAGAAGCCUAUUUAUAGGCUUUGAGAAUGAAUCACCACCACAAAAUAUUUUUUUUCUUUUCCAAGCACCAUUGCCUAAUUUCCCACUUAAUACAAUUUUAAACUUGAAGUGGUAAUUUUAUGGCCUAAUUUUCCACUUAAUAUCAUUUUAAACUUGAUAUGUGCAUGCUUUGUCAUUGCCCAAAAUGAGAAGAAAACCUUGUUUUGAUCUUCAAUGAAUUGAAAUGUGCUUGCCUUGUCAUUGCCCAAAAUGAGAAGAAAAACUUGUGUAAUCCUUCAAGGGUAUUUCUUUUUAUUUUGUUGAGUCGCACACCAUGUGUACAAUUUGUAUGACACGUGGCAUAUGCCAUGUACGCCUUGACACGUCAAAAUUUUAAUGCGUUGGUGAACAUUUAUUUCACCGCAAUUUCGGUGUCUACAAAUGCCCCCACUUCAAGGUGCGUCGUAUACAUGUGCUUGUCACGUGUAGGAGAUGCGUUUUGAAGUCCCUUACUGUAGAUGUCAAUCCAAUGGCCAUCGAGGCUUGAUCUUGAAUUGGGCUGGAGAUUUCUUCAAGGGCCGUUGAGGCUUGUUCUUGGACUUUGUUUGAAAUUUCUUCAAGGGCCAUCGAGGCUUGAUCUUGAAGGUUGAAAUUGGACCACAAGGAGCUUCAUGUGGUAGAUGAUCUUUGGCUUUGGUAGUGGAUGAAUCGGCACGUAUUUGUUUUUGCGCUUUGUUGACUUUCCACAGCUUUGAUCUUGAACUGGGUUGGAGGAUUUUUUGGAUUCCUCCAAUUGUUGAUUUUCCACAGUUUAUUCUUGAACUGGAUUUGAUUCAAAUAUGGUGGACGCUUGAUCUUGAAUCGGACUUGUGAUUUCCUCAAGGGCCGUCGAGGCUUGAUCUUGAAUUUGGCCGGAAACUUCUUCAAGGGCCGUUGAGGCUUGAUUCUUGAAGGUUGACUCGAACACAUGGCAAGCAGGCACGAGGUGAAGGUGACGACUUGUUGCUUUGUUCAAUCUUUCUAAUUCACACCUGAGCAGUUUGGUCAACGGUAUGAUCUUCAAGAUUGAUGGGCUCUUCUUCCAGUUGGUGAUUUGAUCUUUAAGGAUUUGAUUCAAGGGUGGUGAAACGGCACAUGCAGCCCACAACGCCUAGCAAGUCGACCCAAGAAUUUGAGGGUUAAAACGAGUCCUCCACCCAGAGUGAUUGCAAACCUGAUGAUAUGAGAUACUUUUGAUUUUGAAGAAGUAGCGGAUGAAUCGGCACGUGCUUUGUUGUGCUUGUCUCCACAUGCUUCAAUGUAUCAUUUUCCCUUGUCUUAUCUAUUCUUCUAGCAGAAUGUAGCAUCUUCUUAAGUUCUUCAACUCAGACUCCUUCUGCUGAGCUGACUGUGCAGGCUGCAUUAUUCUCUGCUUGUUUCUUUAGGCAGAUGUGGCAGCUUCUUGAGUUCCUCAGCUCGGACUCCUUCUGCUGAGCUGAUUGUGAAGACUGCAUUCUUAUCUGCUUGUUUCUUCUGUACGUUGUCUCCACAUGCUGCAAGGUAUCAUUUUCAAUUGCCUUAUUUGUUUUCCAGGCAAAUGUGGCAUCCGAGUUUGAGUGGAGGUUCUGGCAUAUUGUUUUCUUUAUCCUUGUCUUUGUAGGUAAGAACAAGGACAAAGGAAAGGACAGGGAGAACGCAUGAUAUGAUAUACUCUUGCUUUCUACCCUGGUGAUAUGAGAUACUUUUGCUUUGGUGUCAUUUGUUUGCAGAGGUACCCCAAGGAAUAAGAAACACUGAGUGACUCGAGAGGCUUUGUUGGGAAGGCAUUCUAGGAGAUGAAGAAAGGUUCUUGGAGAUGAAGAAAGGUUCUCGGAGAUGAAGAAAGGUUAUGUAUGUCUGCCUUGCUAUGGAGGGUAAAGGUGGACAGUUAUAGGAAAUUCUUUAGUACCUGUAGAGGUACUAUUCUUUUACUCGUGUCGGCAACCAAUGUGUGAUUGAUCAGUAUGGCUUCACGUGUUUUCUUCUUUAUCAGAAAUCUUCGACAAAUUGUCCGUAAUUUUCGUCAAGCUGAGUGUGCAUGUGACAGGUGUUGACGAGGCUGAAAAAGACUGGUGCCUCUUCGAUAUCUGGGAUCGGCGCUUCGACAAAUUGCCCGUGAUUUCCGCAAAGCUGAGUUUGCGCGUGACGGGUGCUGACGAGGCUGAAAAAGACUGGCGCCUCUUCGAUAUCUGGGAUUGGCGCUUUAACAAAUUGCCCAUGAUUUCUGCAAAGCUGAGUUUGCACGUGACGGGUGCUAACGCGUCUGGAAAAGCAAGAUGCUUCUCCGAUUUCUGAGCUUGCCUCUUUGAUUUUUGAAUUGGCCUCUUCGAAUUCUGAGCUCGCCUCUUCGAUCUUUGAAAUCCCAUCGAGUGUUGAUCUUUAUAGAGGCACGCAGUUCGUUUCAAAGCACACUUGAAUUUUCGCUUGUAGAAACUCCCUUCUUGCACUUCUAAGAUCUUGAUUUGUCCGACCUCUUCUUUCUUCAACACCUUUGAAAAUGUCUGGACCCUCCGACCGUCAUUUUGAUUUGAACCUUGGUGAAGAGGUAGUCCCGUCUUCUCCAGAUAACAUAUGACGCCCAUCUUUCAUAUCCCCUACUGGUCCUCUUACCGUUGGGGAUUCGGUGGUGAAGAAUGAUAUGACCGCUGCGGUGGUGGCCCGAAACCUUGUCACUCCCAGAGAUAACAGACUACUUUCCAAACGGUCUGAUGAGUUGGCUGUUAAGGAUUCUCUGGCUCUCAGUGUGCAGUGUGCAGGUUCUGUGUCUAAUAUGGCCCAACGCCUAUUUGCUCGAACCCGUCAAGUUGAAUCAUUGGCGGCUGAAGUGAUGAGUCUCAAACAGGAGAUAUUAGAGGGCUCAAGCAGAGAGAUAAACAGUUGCAUAAGCUCGCACAUAGCUAUGCGACAAACAUGAAGAGGAAGAUUAACCAGAUGCAGGAAUCUGAUGGUCAGAUUUUACUUGAUCAUCAGAGGUUUGUGGGUUUGUUCCAGCAGCAUUUGCCUUCGUCUUCUGGGGCUGUACCGCGUAAUGAAGCUCCAAAUGAUCAACCCUUGGCUCCUCUUCUUCCUGGAGUUCCGCCGAGUGGUGUGGCUUCAAACAGUCAACCUCCGACGCCUCUCAUUUCUGGAGCUCUGCUGAGUGGUGAGGUGGCACCUAAUCGUCCUUGAAGAUCCCCUCUUGUAAAUUUGAUUUGAUUUUUUUUUAAGUAUGUAUAAUGCAAAUUUAUGUAAAAUUUCCAGAAAAAAUAAAUAAAAACGGACUUUAUUUCUCUCAAUGCAUUUGUUUUGUUUUGUUUUUGUUUUUUUUGUUUUUUUGUUUUUGUUUUUUUUGUAAAUACAUAAUAACAUAUGUAUUUAUUUAUUUAUUCUUUUGUAAUAAAAUUGACUUUCUUUAAUAAAACUUUUAUAUUUUUCUUAUUUAUUUUGAUAUGACUGAACUCGAAAUUGAAUGUUCGAGCCGCCUACGUACCCUUCCAAAGAAGAGAUCAAGCCAUAACGUAGUUCAAAUGAGUGAUGAAUUUAAUAGUGAUUUUGAUGAUGAUUUUGCCGUACACAGUUUAUGCUCUUGUGGGCCAGGAGCUUUGGUGUUGCCUUUUAUGCUCGUGCAGACCAGGAGCGUUGAUGUCGCCUUUUAUGCUCGUGUGGGUCAGGAGCGUUGAUGUUGCCUUUUAUGCUCGUGCAGACCAGGAGCUUUGUGCCAUGCAGUUUAGACUCGUGCGGGCAAGGAGCUUUGGUUCGUGCAGUUUAGGCUCAUGCGAACAAGGAGCAUUGGUUCGUGCAGUUUAGGCUCGUGCGAACAAGGAGCAUUGGUGUUGCCUUUUAUGCUCGUGCAGACCAGGAGCUUUGUGCUAUGCAGUUUAGACUCGUGCGGGUGAGGAGAAUUUGUGAAUUUUGUCAAGCACUUUUGGAGAGGCGUUCCUUACAAUCUUCAUAGCAAGGAGCCUUGACCGAGUGAUUGAAGAAGUCUUCGGGAAAGAAGUCGCACAUCGUGAUGGCAACAGACGAUCUUUGUGUCGUAAUUUCAUCAUCUUCAACACGUUCACGUUGCUUUGAAGGUUGACAAGAGCUGCUUUGCCCCCUUUCCGAUUGGCGGACUUGUGGAGGAGACGUAUGCUUCUUGUGCCAUUUCUUAGGAGUGACUUGAGUCCAUCCUUCAAGUUUGCUUGUUUUGGAGGAUGCCCCCGGCGGUUGAGGUGAAAAUUUUGUGUUGAAAGAGCCAGAAGUGAUGGUGGUAUAGUUUGACUUCACCACAUCGUCAAGAUCUAGCUCGAUGAUUCCUUUCUGAGCCCACUUUAUGAUGAGAUCUUUCAGCACAAAGCACUUUUCUGUCGGAUGACUGAUGAAGCGGUGGAAUUUACAGUAUCUUGGACUGUUGGUACGAUUCAUCUCUUCCGGCCAUCUGCACUCAGGCAAACUGAUCACCUUCUUGUCCAACAGGUCAUCCAACAUGGCAACCACAUCAGAGUCAGGGAAUGGAUAAGUCUUCUCUUUAAGCUCCUUCAAAGUGCGUCUACGCAUCUCUUGAUCACGAAAAGCUUCGGUUUGAAUCGUUUUGCCUCGUGUGGAGAUUUUGACGGGAGAUGUGUUGACUGUCAUUGCUUCCUUGGUGGAUUUCCACGUAGCCUUCUCCACCUUUGUCUCAAGAAUUUUGUCGUUCUUGUAGUCGGCGAUCGGUUCCUUCUUCCCAUGAUGGGUGAUGCUCAACUCCAUGUCAUGGGCGUGGGUGGCCAAUUCCUCGAAGGUCCGUGGUUUAAUGCCUUGAAGGAUGUAUUGCAAACCUCAUUGCAUGCCUUGGAUGCACAUCUCGAUUGAAGAGGUCUCCGAGAGCCUAUCUUUGCAGUCGAGGCUUAGAGUGCGCCAUCUGUUGAUGUAGUCAAUGACCGGCUCAUCUUUCCAUUGCUUCAUACUUGUGAGCUCCAACAUGCUUACAGUGCGGCGGGUGUUGUAGAAGCGGUUGAGGAAUUCCCGCUCCAAUUGCUCCCAGCUGUUGAUGGACUCAGGCUCUAGGUCCGUGUACCACUCAAAUGCGUUUCUUUUCAGCGAGCGCAUAAACUGCUUGGCGAAGUAGUCCCCCUCCGUCCCCGCGUUGUUGCAAGUUUUGACGAAAUGUGCAACGUGCUGCUUUGGGUUUCCUUUUCCAUCAAACUGCAUGAACUUUGGUGGUUGAUAUCCCAUCGGCAUCUUUAGGGCAUCAAUCUUCUUUGAAUAAGGCUUUGAGUACAACCCGGAGGUAUUUGAGCUCCCUUCGUACUAUGCCUUGACGGUGCUGGCAAUCAUCUCUUGCAACUGUUGGAUAGAAAGAGAUCCCAUGAGUGCCGCUUCUUGGUCUGGCUCCGGCUUCACAUCGAUUUUCUCCACCGUAGGCUCAUCUUCUGGGUUAGGGUUCUCGCUGUCCUGUGGCUCCAGUUGACUGAUGAGUGCAGCGAUUUGCAAGUCUUUUUCUUCCACAGUUCGGGUUAGCCUUGCGAUUGCUUCAUUCAUUUGAGCCAGUUGUUCUUCGAUGGAGGUAACGCCGAUGGUCAUGACUUGUGCAACCAAUAGACGUGACUUUCCUUUAGACAUCCAAGAUGCUGAAGAAGAACGUCAUUGGUUGUUUUGGGAUGUCAUCUUGUGUGCCUCAGCAACAUGCUUUGGUGCCCCCAGCGAGGUCAGGUUGAUGACAGACUCACACCUUUGAUGCUCCCUUUGCUCUUUUAGCGGCACCAACUUUGAAGUGGCAUGUUAAGGAGCGGUUGUGGUGCUAAUGGAUUGUCCAUUUGCGGCAGAAGUGCUUAGGAUCCUUCCCUCAGUGAUUGCGAGAACGGCUUGUCCCUUGCUUGAUGCCAUUGAUUUUGAGGUGUGUUUGGAUUCCUUAAACGGAGAAAGAUAUGAGAGGUAGAGAUUGUCCCACCGGGCGUGCCAAUUUGUGAACACGAAAAUUUCCUGAAACGAAAGAGACAAGAACAACGUGCACAAAAUAAUAUUUUGGUGUUAAUGGAUUUGUUGGGUUACGAUCUCUUUUAACUUGAUCCUCUGAUUCGAUCUCCGUAAGGUGUUGAUUUAUGGAUGUUUCGUUGAUCUAAGGGCCGUCGAGGCUUGAUCUUGGAUGAACUGUUGGAAGUUUCUUCAAGGGGCCGUGGGCUUGAUCUUUGAAGGUGGAUUUGAGCGGAUCUUCAAGGAGCCGUUGGGGCUUGAUCUUGAGGAUGAGUGUUUCUUCAAGGGCCGUUAAGGCUUGAUCUUGAAUAACGGUGAUGAACGGAUCUUCAAGGGCUUUUGGGCUUGAUCUUGAAGAACGGUUGGAUGUGUGGAUUUGUUGAUGUUGUUGAUCCAAGGGCCGUCGGGGCUUGAUCUUGGAAGAACGAUGAACGAAGAACGAAGAACACUUUCUUCAAAGGCCGUCGGGGCUUGAUCUUGAAUUGGUGAUUGUUGAUCCAAGGGCCGUCGGGGCUUGAUCUUGGAAGAACGGUGAACGAAGAAUGAAGAACGAAGAACACUUUCUUCAAGGGCCGUCGGGGCUUGAUCUUGAAUUGGUGAUUGUUAAUCAAAGGGCCGUCGGGGCUUGAUCUUGGAAGAACGAUGAACGAAGAACGAAGAAGGCUUUCUUGAUUCUUCGGGAUGAACGGAUGAUGAACAAUGAACACUUUCUUCAAGGGCCAUCGGGGCUUGAUCUUGAAUUGGUGGAAGUUCUUCAGGGCCUUUGGGGCUUGAUCUUGAAGGUGGAUGAUUGUUGAUCCAAGGGCCGUCGGGGCUUGAUCUUGGGAUGAACAGUUGUGUGGAUUUGUUGAACACUUUCUUCAAGGGCCGUCGAUGCUUGAUCUUGAAUUGGUGGAAGUUCGUCAAGGGCCGUUGGGGCUUGAUCUUGAAGAAGGAUUUGACGAAGAACGAAGAGAGCUUUCUUGAUCCUUCGGAAUUUGCUUGAAUUUGGGAGGUUGGAUGCUUGAAAGCUUUAGAGUUUCAAAGCUUCAAGGAUUUUGGAUGUGUGGGGAGUAUUCUCUUACAUUUUGGGAGUAGAGAAAUGUAUUUGUGAAUUGGUUUUUGAUACCUUGAUGUAGAAGCCUAUUUAUAGGCUUUGAGAAUGAAUCACCACCACAAAAUAUUUUUUUCUUUUCCAAGCACCAUUGCCUAAUUUCCCACUUAAUACAAUUUUAAACUUGAAGUGGUAAUUUUAUGGCCUAAUUUUCCACUUAAUAUCAUUUUAAACUUGAUAUGUGCAUGCUUUGUCAUUGCCCAAAAUGAGAAGAAAACCUUGUUUUGAUCUUCAAUGGAUUGAAAUGUGCUUUGCCUUGUCAUUGCCCAAAAUGAGAAGAAAAACUUGUGUAAUCCUCCAAGGGUAUUUCUUUUUAUUUUGUUGAGUCACACACCAUGUGUACAAUUUGUAUGACACGUGGCAUAUGCCAUAUAUGCCUUGACACGUCAAAAUUUUAAUGCGUUGGUGAACAUUUAUUUCACCGCAAUUUCGAUGUCUACAAUUUCAUUUCUUGUGAAUAAUGUUUAUCCUGUGUUCUGUCCAAUCGCGUAUUAAAAAAUGUGUGAAGUUUGGAUUAACCACACUCUUUUAGAAUUUCCUUUAUUUACCACUUUUUGAGAAUUUCCAAUAAGACUGGGUGAGUCUCCGCUGAGAAUUUCCUCAACUAACACCACACUACUUGAGGGAUAAUUUGUUAUAUCUUUGAAUAAAGAAUAAAACAGUUUCCUACUUUUGAAGGUACUAUUAACUUACACUAUAUUUGGAUGAAGGUCAAACUUUAUAAAUUGACAUACACCAAAUUCUUUGUUUGGAUUCAUAAACAUAUAAAUUUAGAAUUUCCGCGUGGAAAAAAAAAAUACUUAGAAUUUGAGACCUCCAAUUCUCAAAUUGAAAGUUUAAAAAUAAUAAAUUCCGUAUUCAAUUCAAUUGUUCUUUUAGGUUAACCAAAUAAGAAAAUUCACAAAUUCUAAAAUAUAAAAUCUCAUCAUUUCAAUUUCCGUCAUUUUAAAAUUCCUUAGUAAUAUUAAAUUUCUUCAUCCAAACAUAGUGUUAAGAAAUUUUUUAAAGAUACACUAUUUACACUCAUUUUUAUUUCUUACACAUUUAUUAACUUUGUCCAUUGAUUUCUUCAAUUCAUUUUGCCAGUUAUACAAAAAUUGAGAACAGUAUUUAUGAAUUAAAAAUACAUUUGUAGAUGUCACUACCAAAUUUUUAUUCCUAAUUCAAGAAAAUCUUAUCCAUAUAUGAUUGCCCUUGCCCACUUUAAAUGGGUGCCAUCACUUUACGAUAGAGCAAUCCUAACCGUCCACCUAGGUAAGCAUAACUGGCGAUGCAUGUCGCAAGGGGACCGCAUUGCACAAUAUAAUUAUACUAGUUGAUAAGACAAGUGAUGUCAAUCAAUAAAUUAUUUCAUUAAAACUUAGUUGUAUGUAUCAUAUGUUGUAAUGUAGGGUGUAUGAUAUGCUGACGCUGUAAAAAAAUGUAACCUUUUUAAUAUUACUCAUAAUAGUAAGACUUACCAGUAUUAGGAUGUUAUCAGUGGAAUGAGAAUCCUCUCCAGAUCUUUUUUGUGAGCUAUUAUUUGUAUUUAAUUUUAAAUAUAAAAAAUUAAAAUAAUUUAUGACGGCAGUGAUUCACAUGAUCUUCACAAAGAGAAUCCAAAUAAUCUUAAUUUAUAUCAGUGUGUCUAGAUAACAUGAUCGAGCCCCUUUACUUUUACCCUAUUUAGUAUUUUACAUUUGAACCUGUAAAUAUUCGAUUUUUCUUUGGUGCAACCGAGCACCAAAUAUAGAUUUUUUUUCACUUUUAUAUAAUGAUAAAUAAAGGGCAAUUGGCAGAUUUGAAUUCCAUUCGGAUUGGUCAAAAAUCAUUUUAAAUUGUUUUAUUUAAAAUUAAACACAUAUAGUACUUAAUAAAAAUUAGUCGUACAAUAUACGAUAAACAGAUAUAAUGUAAGGACCUUUAUGAUCUUCACAAAAAAGAUCCAAAGGUUGUGUAGCUGUUUCAAAAGGAUAAUACUCACUUUUGAUUAGUUCAAUGAAAUUUUAAACAUGUUUUAUUGUUUUAAAAAAUAAUAAACAUAUUUAUUAAUGUUUGUUUUACUUUAAAAAAUAAGCAGCACUUGACAACAUUUGAUUGUGCUAAAUAAAAAAUGAGUGACCACUUAGUACUACAGUCUUAUGAUAUUUUUCUUCAUUUGAAAGUGAGAGGUUUUAAGUUCGAAUCUCGUGGAUGACGAAUUUGAUAUCAAAUUAGAUUGCUCACUAUGUGGCUUAGCCGAACUCUCAUUUCCUUUAAUGUAAAAAUAUUGAUGUAUUCAAAAAAAUAAAAAGUGACUAUAGAGGACACUCAAUCUCAGCUGUAUGAUUAAAUCAGACGGUAAGAAAAAUUCUGCAAGCAUACUCGGUUACAUUAAUUGAAGAAAAAAUGGGUAAAUAUUGGGCACCAACGUUAUAAAUACCCUCCACCAUGCACCCAACUCCCUCACACCAUCACAACCCACGUUACAAAUCCUCCUCCUCAUCAUAACCAUUCUGUUUUCCGCAUAAUAUCCAAAAACCUAUCAUGUCUGAAGAGAAACACCACCGCGGUCUCUUCCACCACCACAAGGAUGAAGACAAACCCUCAGACUACCCUCAGUCUGGCUACUCUGAUGAAGGACGUCCCGGCGGCCUCGGUGGUGGUUACGGCGACACCAAUGAUUAUUCUGGUGAAGGACGUACCGGCGGCCUAGGUGGUGGCUAUGGCGACACCAAUGCUUAUUCUGGUGAAGGACGUCCCGGCGGCUAUGGCGGCUAUAACGAGACCACUGCUUACUCUGAGGAAAGAGUUGAAAGACCCGGCGGUGGCCGGUACAGUGAGACUACUGCGGCAUAUGGCAGCACCACCACUCAUGAAUCUGAACUUGAUUACAAGAAGGAGGAGAAGCACCACAAGCAUCUCGAGCACCUCGGCGAGGCCGGUGUAGCUGCUGCCGGCGCUUUUGCCUUGGUACGUAUUGUAUUUUAACCCACCUCUAUAUAUAUAUAUAUUAGAAUAAUGCUAAUAAGACCAAAUUUUGAAAACUAAAUGAUGUGGUUGUUGAUAAUGAACUUAUUACUCAAGUCUUGAUUAACAUGCUUAUUUUCUAAUAGUGACACAUUAUUUGGUUUAGAAAUUUGGUCUUCCUAACUUUAUCAUUCUCAAAAUUUUCAUGAUUUUGAUAGGGUAAUACGGGAGAUCAAAAUUUCUAAACCAAAUUUGCAAACCAAUAGAUGAUUGGAUUAUUAAUUAAGUAUCGAUUGUUUGUUUCUUAUUAACGACAUAUCAUUUGAUUUACAAUUUAGUUAAAAAAAAUUUAUUCUUUCUGUCAUAUCCUUUUGAAUAUUUGAUCACUUUACUCUUUAUCACUUUACCCUUGAUCACUUUACCCAUACUCUUGCAACCGAAUCACCGUCCUCCUCCUUAACCUUCAUUUUUUUGUCUUACAGUACUCCAAUCUAUCAACUCUGUCCAUUGCAACUUUAAUUGUGAAGAAAAUUAAAGUCCUAUCGUAAAAUUAAUUAGUGAUAUGGAGAGUUGCGCAAUUAUUGAUGGACUAGGUAGGUAAGAUACGGAAUCAAAGUCUACCAUUAACAAUGGACGGAAUUGAUGAACCAUAUAGGUAUGUAAGAUACGGAAUCAAAGUCCUCAUGUAAAUGGUACAGUUGCAAUCAGGAGAAGAAAUGAGUUAACUGAUACCUUCGUAAUAGUUCAUGUAGAGUUUUGAUAUUAUUAAGCCUUAACCACCUGAUCUUAUAUAUACGAGGACAAAUCUAAUCAAAUAUGUGUUAAUUUCAAGGUUUGUUUUACAUUGAUGUGAGAUCGAUGCUAGCAAGAUAUAUAACUUAUGUCAGUUUCUAUAUGAUGUGUGUAGCAUGAGAAGCACAAUGAAAAGAAAGACCCAGAGCAUGCCCACAGGCACAAGAUAGAAGAGGAGAUUGCUGCAGCAGCUGCAGUUGGUUCGGGUGGAUUUGCCUUCCAUGAGCAUCAUGAGAAGAAAGAGACAAAGGAAGAAGAGGAAGAGGCUUAUGGAAAGAAGAAGCACCACCACUUCUAGAUCUAUGUGGAUUGUGGAACAUCAUCUUUUGACUACAUAUGCAAUGUUGUGUUUUUACUAGUUAUCAU
rnacentral:lncRNA from 1 species